rnacentral:lncRNA from 1 species
UCCAUUCGGUACAAUUACUAGCGCUGUAAUCAUGAGAGAUAAUGAUGGAAUAUCCAAAUGCUUCGGUUUCGUUAACUAUGGGGAAUCAGAAUGUGCUGUAGAAGCUGUGAAAAUUCUUAAUGGGAAGAAGAUUAAGGAUACAAUUUUGUAUGUGGGAAGAGCUCAGAAAAAGUCAGAAAGAGAAGCAGAACUGAAAGAAAACUUUGAGUGUGCGAGAAAUGAGAAAUUCAAAAAGUUUGAAGGGCUCAAUCUAUACGUGAAGAAUCUAGAUGAUAGUAUUAAUGAUCUAAAUCUUAGAGGGUUAUUUGAAGUUUUUGGUGAGAUAGGAUCAUGCAAGGUACUUCUCUCUUUAUUUGCUAGCUAAUUCUGUUUCUUAAUAUCAUGGCUCACCUUCUUAACAUUUUGUUAGGUUAUGGUUGAUUCACAAGGAAGGAGCAAGGGUUAUGGCUUUGUGUCAUUUACAACUAUUGAAGCUGUCCACAAGGCUGUAAGUAACAUGGUUUAGUUGUAUGCAAACCUGCCCAAUGCAUCCAGUUGACUAGUUUAGAUUAUUAAAUCAUCUUUAAUCAAUGUGGUAGAUUGACGGGAUGAACAGGAAGAUAGUCGGCAAAAAGCCAUUGUAUGUUGGUGUAGCUCAACGCAAAGAGGAAAGACGAGCGAUGCUAGUGGUAAGUCUUUCCCAAGUGAUCAUUUUGUACAUUAGGUGCCUUCUGCUGAUAAGUGAUAAGUACUGACUUCUUUUAAUUAAUCUUAAAUGCUGAUAAGUGCUGUUUGAGUUCUAAUAUUGCUAUGUGUCCAUGUCUACUACAUGUCCAAUUAUUCACGUAUUAUUUGUUUCAUUUUUACACAUAUCUGAUGAACUAAAAGAAACUCUGUUCAGUUAUAAAUAAGUUGUAUAUUGUCCCAUCCUAAGAAUAACAUAAACUGAGAAUCAAUGUGGAUGAGUGUUAACAAAAUGGUUAUUUAUUUACCGUCCAAAUAAAGUUAAGUAAAACAGGUUCUCUCUUGUCACCUGUGUGUCACUGAAUAUUUGAACAUUAGAUCUGCAACUGUUUCAAGAAUAUAAACAAGGAACACAGCACAAGCUUAAUGCUACCGACAUUGUUUCUAGGCACACUUUGCUCGUAUUCAGAACACAGGAGUUCUAGCACCCGCAGUACCACAAAAUUUUGCUCCCCGUCAGUUCUACGUCGGUCCAGGAGUGCCUGGCAUGUUCCCACCACAGGUUCGUGCAGGCUUCGGGUAUCAACAAUUCCCACAACAACAUUUCAGUCCUUGGGUUCCUAGCGGCAUGACGCCAUAUACGUAUAACAUGCCGAGGCCACUACACCAUGCUUGGCGUGGUGUGCAUCAAGAAAUCAAUCUACACUGACAGGUAUUAUGGCAUGAGAGAUGAACAUUUUUUGACUUCAUUUUUUUAAUCCUUAAUGCAUCAGCUACUCUUGCAAAGGUCAUCCAGCCGUGCCCAUGUUCAGAUUAUCUCACAAGUAGUCAAUUCACCUGACUUUCUUGCUUUUACAAUGCAGAUGGUGUACCCAAAUACCAACCAAGCCUUCACAUACAUGCCAAAUUCUAUGAAUGUGAAUGCCAACUCUGUGAUGGUUCCCCCGGGCUUCGCACAAACUGAUAGUACUGUCUCUACUCCAUCUGUUCCAAGCAAGAACACCACCACCACUGCUGUAGAUUCUUCUUACCUGGAGAAACAACAUCCCGUAAGGACAGUGGAAUUAUAUUAGGACGUGCUAAUUUCACAGUUACAAAUUUUACUUGGCAUGCAUGUUUAUAUAUUAGCCAUUUAUGUCAAUGAAGGGUGAAUUUUUAGUUUGGUCGUAUACUUUGUUUAUCUUGCAGAUUCAAGACGAGAAAUUGUACCCACUGGGUGAACAGCUUGAGCCAGAAUUAGGAGGGAAGGUGACAGGGAUACUGGGUGAGGCAAUGGAAGCUCUACAAGGAAGGAAACUGGAAGAGGCCAGGGAUACUGUUGACCUCGCAACCAUACCAUCAUCAUCGACCUUGAGUGUUAGCAGAGAUGCUAUUGACCCCGCUUCGACAGCGUCGUCCUCGAGUGCUUCCGCUGACGGUGCUAACCUUGCUCCGUCACCAUCAUCCUCGAGUGCUUGAACGCUGGUUCCUAACAUCUCUGUCGACCUGAAAUUUAGAUGGUUGGAUAAUGUUUAAGAAGAUUCCUGGUUUGAUGUUGCUUCAUGAUAUUUUCGGUCAUGAGUUUUAUUCUUGUUUGUUUGUUUGUUCUUAGGUUAAAGUGCAACUGCAUUUUCCCCAAUAUUUAGGAUAACUUCAUCAAAUAAAAAAUUAGACAGUGCCCUCUUCCUUUGGCAGUGAUCCUAGUUACUUCCAAUAUUACGUAAAAGAUAUAAUAGUUUAACGAUAUCUGUUUAACAAUUCAUGAUGGCCUCACAAAACACACACACACAAACCAACCAAAAGUGCAAAUAGGGUGUUAUGGCAAAUAGCUUCAGCCUCUAAAUCAGCUAAAUUGAUGCUAAACAGGGGCUUAAUUGCGCUAAAACUGCUAAGUAGUAUAUGGAGAUGUCGUUUACAUGGACAACUAGCAUUUGCUUUUCUCUUCUACAACUAUUUUCUCCUAAUCUUUUGUAAGUUCAUAUAUUACUAAUGUUCAACUCAUCUACCCGGGGAAAAGGCCCUCUCCUCCAUGACAGAACGAAAAUCCUGAGCCCCCUCGCCGCGCCGUACAACGCCCCAGGGUAGCUUGUGCCAAACGGUCAAUGUGCCCGCGGGUUGCCUCAGGCGAAGGCGUCGGCGGCGUGUACCAUGUGCAGUGGGAUGCUAGGGGUGAGCGACCACAGGAAUGUUUAGAGUAUUGUGCACAUCUCACAGAUUGCUAGAUGUUUCAUGUGAUGUAGAAGUACAUAUAUGCAUUCAAACUUGUCGAUAGAUGCAUGGAAGAAACUACUUAAGAAUUCUGAGGCAUACAAUGUGGAAUUUGCAAGCUUCAUCUCCGCAGGUGUAUAGCACCAUGCAUGUGCCAUCAAGCUUACGUAACCGUUGAAUAUGAUUACGUCUAGCUCACCAAACAGCCCUGCGAUGCAGGUAUGCUGUGUUUCUUUCUCCUUCUCUUAAACACGUAAUCCUUGAGCGCUGCAACCAUAGCAUCAUUUCUCUGUAGAGAAGCUCAUCAAGCUCAUGCAUCUUCUGCCGGAUGAAACGAUGAUCGACAUUGUUCUCUUGCAAGGAUGCAAGUUCAGACCGGAGCCUCUCAAUAUCACGUAGCACAUGCCCAAAGGUUUUACUGCUCCAUUUCGAAAGAUUCUACAGAGUUCCUUCAACGAGUUUGACACUGACUCCACUCCGCACCCAUGUGUCGAUGCACAAAAUUAGGGGCUCUCCUUUUGCACCCCUUAACUUGUGCACAGGCAGUCAGAGCCGCGCCCACGGUCGCACUGAGCAGGGAAGAGGAGGGAUGCCGGACGACAAGACAACCGAAGCAACGCCAAGACCAGAGACACAAAGAGCAAGGGAGCGAAGUCGACUCCCCCGGCAAGACUCUUGCCGGGGCAACCUCCGCAGCCCCGGCAAGAGCCUUGCCGGGGCAACUUGCCCUAUGCCAGCUGAGCACGCCGCCCUUGAGCCAAGGGGUUCCAAUGCCAUCAACCGCAUCGAAACCAAGGCUCGGGAGGCACCUCCAUGGUGGCAUGCAGAUCUUUGUGGAGAUCAUAAAUACACAAGAACAGAUGAGAACCAAAAGACGACAAUCCUUGGCGAGAUCCUUGCCAAGGAAAUCCAUGUGACCCCCGGCAAGAUCCUUGCCGGGGACGACCACGGUGCCACGGCAAGACCCUUGCCGGGCCCCCGGCAAGACCCUUGCUGAGGACAUCUGCGGGGCCGCAGCCAGGCCCACGUCUGUCAAGACUCCACCACCGCUCCCAUGCAGGUGCUAGCUCAACCAGUUGGGCAGGCGUCUACGUGGCAGCAUGCGGCCUCCACACCGACUCAGCAAGCACCUACGUGGUGGCAUGCAGAUCUUUGUGAAGGCUCUGCCAUCACGCCAGCCCAGCAGCCAGCCAACGUGGCGCUACAAUGUCUCGUCGGCUCGGACGCGCGUCGGAGCCAGGCGAGGUGGCGACAGCUGGGACGAGCUUCCUUGUCAUCCCCGAUAAAGCAAGAGGGGCACGUCGGCAGCGCAUUAAAUGUGUUUGUCCGACGGUGCCAGAGGAUAGACUCAGCCACGAUACUCCUUUCCACCUCCUGUGUGCCACUAUGGCAACCCCUUUUGUCUAUAAAAGGAGGCCCGAGGCGUACUGGAGGAGGAUUCGAAUCUUUGGAACUAGGGACACACCGUAGCUAGUUCAAGAACUCAAGAACACUAAAAUAUACAUCAAAGCAGGACUAGGGUAUUACGCGUCUCCGCGGCCCAAACCUGGGUAAACGAUCCUUGUGCUGACCCUCAGACCUGCUCUUUGCACAACUCUGCGCCCGCCAACCGUAGAAGGGAUCCCAGUGAUUCCAUAGGUGUCGUUUCCACCGAGAUCUUUGGCGCGUCACGUAGGGGGCGCGCAGUUGUGGAAAUCUGGUCUGGUUGAAGCAGCGACUUCAUCAUGGUCGUCACUCCAAGGAUGAAGACGACCAAACAAGUGGCGUCCUUGGUGGAUGCAAUGAACACUCGUGCAACAACAAAUAAGCUAAGUCAUGCAAAACUUUGAGCAAUUCCUUUUUAUAUAUAAGGUUAUCAUCCUCGACGAUCUUGCCCUGUGUAUGGAAAACCUGCACGCAAUGGGGCCCUGCCACUAUUGGCAACUCCCUCAUUCUAUUUCGAGACCACUCAAUAGUUCUAGCGGCUGCGUCGAGAACGGCAUGGUGACCUUCUGUGAUUGGCAACGCUCUCGUUCUGUCUCGAAUCCGCUCGACAGUUCGAGCGGCCGCGUUAAGAGUAGUGAGGUGGUUUGCCCGACAUCAAGCACACCCUGCAGGCCAUUGGGGAUCCGUCAUCGAGGCGCCGCGACCUGGGUUUUCGCACCGGCAAGCCUACCCGACUAACGUAGGGUGUACAUACAAAGGGAGAUCAAAUGGGAAAAUAACAUGCAUCAUUUCAAAGCACUUCAGAGUUAUACUACAUCAAUUGUUGCUGCGGUUCUAACUAAAGAUAAAAAUUGUCUUGGUUGUGAACCUGCAGCGGCGAUAAGAAACGGGGUGCCUAGUCCCGGCGCUGGCCUUCUAUCCUCCGAACGGAACUCCGUCGAUGCGGCUGAUGACGGGCUCGAUACGCUCCUUGAGUGUCGCGGGUCCAUGUCCUCCGGCAAGCUAUCCAGCGCAGCUUUGAAGUUGAGGUCAGGGUUCCAGUACGCCACCUUGGUGAGGACCUUGGUCAUGGCACCCCGGCAAAGCCUCCAGGCCUCAUCAACCAGAGAGGCCGCCCUGUUAGAGCGGAACUGCUCCAGGGCCCCGAGAACACCCUCGAAGAACAAGGUCAGCCUGACAUUGGGACUCACGUUCGGCUCCGGGACGUACCUCAUGUUUGGCAUCCCCAUGGUAGCCAGCUGCGUGGUGAUCCUACUGGCGAUGUCGGUGAGGCGGCUGAUCCAGAGGUUUUCUCCCUUCACAAAAUCCUCGUGGUUGGCGGCUUCAUUCUUCCGCAGCUGCCUCUCCUUCUCCAGAUUCUUGGUUAGUGUCUCCUCCCGGGCCCUGACCUCCGACAGCGUACCCUCCAGACCCUCCAGCUUCAGCUUCAGGUCUUGGAUGGAGUUGUUGGCCUUGGAGAGUAGCUCGGCCUUGCCGAGGACUGUGGCCUGCGCAUCAGCCAAAUCGCCUUUGGCCACGUCCCUCUCCCUCGUCAGCUCUAGGAUCUGCUUCUUCAGCCCGUCCCGCUCCACCUCCAGCUCGUUCACCUUGCCAGCAUGGACCUGGGCCUGAGCAUUGAGUGCCUCCUCGUGCCUCUACUCCAGUUCCUGGGUCCGCUACACGACAAGCUCCUUGACCUCCUCGACCUUCCCGCGGAGUGUCACGGCGAGUUUCUCCUCGCGGGCGGCAAGGUCCUCCUCCUAGGAGUUCAGCGCGGCCUGGUGCUGGCGCCGAGCGGCCUCAUCCUUGGCGGCCUGUUGUCUCGCUGCCUCCCGGGCCUUCUCGAUAUCGGCCUGCUUGAUGACAAGCUCCAGCUUGCGCUCGGCCAGCAGAUCCUAGGCGGUCUUCUGUUCCUCACAGGCCUGGCGGAACCAAGCCUGCGUCUCGGUGACGCACCCCUCGAGGUCCGCCUCUGCCUUGUCCACCGCCGCCAUCCUGCACUUGGCCUUGUCCAGGCGGGCACGGUGAAGCGCCUGGAGCUUGUGGAAGUUGGCGCUCAUGCCCUGGAGGAGCCGCUCUUCCUGGGAACCGCCGCCAUCGGCGCUCAGUUCGUCAACGACCUCAAGCCCGGUGGCGGCAAGCACCUCGUCGUCGAACACCUCCCCCUCAGCGAGCGCCUUGGUGCUCGCCAUCCAUGGGAGGUGGACGAACAGGUCAUCGCUCACCUUCAGGUACUUGCUCGAGCCAGACGCGGCGGAGGAGGAAGGAUGGUCAUCAACCACCUCCUCCUCGACAGCGGCCUUGCCGGCCUCCCCGGCCUUCCUGGCAGCGGCCUCGCCGGUCUCCCCGGCAGGCCCCUUGGCGGCGUCCUCAGCAGCGCCCUUGGCGGCCUCCUCAGCGGUGAUCUUGUCGGCCUCGGCCACGGCAUCCCUGGCAACCUCCUUGAUGAAGGUGUCCACGUCCUUCGGGUCCGCCGAGGAAGGAUCUGGAUACCGAGAAAGGGAAUUAGGCGAAGUCAAGACCAAAAUUCAAAAGAAGAAAAACGAGCGGGGACAGAAGGCAAACAACUCACCCAUGCCAAGCUGGGAAGAAGUGGCCCCCUCCCAACCAACGUUCGGUGCCAGGACGAAGCCGUCGGUGCCCAGGUUCGCCUCCUCCUCCUCCGUGCGCAUGGGCUCGGUGCUUGGCGCCCUUGCUGGGGACGCCCCUCGGGGCGGCGUGGUUGAUGGGGGUGGUGUGUUGGGGGUGGCCCUCAGUGACUCCUCCUGGUGCUGUCCUCCUCCUGCAACCACGGCAAGGUCAGCACCAAGAGAUCGUGUCCCAGCACACAUUGAUGAGGAGUGAGUGAUGAACGCAUGCUGGGGGCUGCGCCGGGGGCUGAUAUCCGGGCUGCUCUCCACCACUAGCGGCGUACUCGAGGUGCCCGCCGGGGGCUGACCGCCUGUCAAGGCCCUGGCCAUCUUUGCCACCCUCUGGGCCAGCGUCUCCAUAUCCCUGCAAAGAUGAGGACAAGUCAAGACAAGUGGCACGAUCUAAGGGGACGGAGAUGACAAAAGACAAUAUACUUACUCAUCCUCCGCCCUUUCUUCCGUUGCCUUCCUCUUCCUCCUCUGGCUAAGAGACCCGAAGUCGAAGAUGACCUCCGUGUCGUCGCCUGCGGGAGGAGGGGAAGCGGGUGGAGACCGAGGACGCUUGGACGAAGAAGAGGCAGUCGCUUUCUUUUUCGCCACCACAGCCUUCACCACCAUCCUCGCCGCCGCGGCCCUCGUUUGGCGCACGGACACCUCUUGGGUUUGUUGCGGUUACGUGGCCCUGCCGUGCCGGACCGGCUCACCAGAGCUGGCCUGCCACAGGACACGCCCUGUCCUCGUGGCUGGGGGGUCGACAGCCUCGACCUCCUCCCUGGAAGACUCAUCGACCACAUCUUCAAUAAGAGGGGCCCCGGUGACGGCGCUGCUGGCCUCCCCAGCAGAUUCCGCCCACUGGGCAAGCUCCUUCUCCUUCGCGGCCGCCGCGGCCUCGUCCUCCAUGCCGCCAGCGCUGCCGGACUCCCUGGCGAGCUCUGCCUCCGCCGCCCUGGUGGCGAUAUAGUCCAGCUCCGCUUGGGUGGUGUCCUAGAUGAGCAGCGGCUCUUCGCGGACGUACUUCUCCGACAAGGUGUCGAAGAACUUCUGCACCUGAUCCGCCUCCGGCCCGACCCAAUUUGGGUCAGGGUCGUGCGCAUUACAGUCCGGCAUCAUGGCAAUGAUGUCGGUUUGGCGGGAGUUGUUGCUCAGCGGGACCACCCCCGCUGGCAACCCAAACAAGGGCCCUUGGAGACCUUGUUGGCCUUCGCGGCCUUGCUGGUCCUCUCGGCCCUGCCGUCGCGGUCCACGUCGAGCUGAAAAAGCCGCUGGCAAAAGUGGGCAUGCCCCAUCAACAUGAAGUUGUGGUUCAAGCCGGGGCAAAGCCGCAUGAUGUCAGCUGCAUUCCUGAAAAGCCAGGCCGGCCUCCCCUUGUUGUGCAGUGGAGCGAUGCGGCGGCGGAUGAAAUCCGCCCCAAUCAUCUCCAGGGUGAGCCCGGCAACGGUGAGGCAAUGGAUCCUGGUAAUGGUGACCGUGAGCUUCUCAUCCUGGGCGUCGACAUCGCCCCAGUCGUCUCUGCGAACCGGCGGCGCCUGGCGAACCUGGCAAAAUUCCUGUGGGUCCUCCUCCUCAAUCCAGCACCAUCGGCUCCGCCACUCCUCCCACCUCUCCUUCUGAGCGCCCUCCGGAUAUGUCCCCUUCUCCUGGGUCCUUGGGAUCCAGGCGACACAACCGGAGAUGGCUCCUCCCUUCUGGAUCCGAGGAUAGAAGUGGUGGCGGAAAGCGCCGUGUUGGGAUGCACUCCGGCAAAGCCCUCGCAGAGAUGGGCGAAAAGGGCCAUGCACGCCACGGCAUUUGGAGUGAAAUCCAGAAGGUCAAAGCCAUAGGUGUGCAUGCCAUCAUUGAAGAAAUCAGAGAAAGGGGACAGAGGCCACAGGAAAAGUAGUCGACGAAGAAUGGGUACCGAUUCGGGCCGGCCUUGGCGAAAUCAGUGGGGAUGAUGUGCGUGGCCGGAUGCCUCGUCGUCUCCCCCUUCUUGCACUCCCACAGGGGCUUGAAGUUGUCCUAGAGAUGGACCGCAUCAACCGUCGAGGGAAAGUAGGCGAGCUGCGUCUGCCGCGCCGCCAACUCACUCUCCAGCGGCUCCUUCCCCCCGACGUCCUUGGCCACUCCCUUGCCUUUGCUGGUUUUGGGUGCCAUGGCGGCUGCGAGUAGUGAAGGAUGAAGGACAGCAAACACGCGACAGCGGCGAGCGAGAGCAAGAUCUUGAGAAAGAAGGAGGAGGGGACGACGGUUCCGAGAUUGGAGAAGGCAUAUAGGGUAAAUGAGCAGCGCGCCUGCGGUUAUCCUUUUUUACGGGGAAGGCCCAGACCGCCUCUUUACCAUUUACUACGACAUGACGCCUGCGUGCGGGAACCACCCCAUGCAUGACCCCCACGUCACGCAUGAUCCUCCACGUCGCGCGUUCAACGCGGGUCGUGGGAAAGCGCAGCGGAUGGAAAAGUUACUACAGUAAAAACCACCCCGCCUGCCCGCGCACCAUUCUGGGCCUAGCGCAACAACGCGUCGUGCUUAUGUGUGGCCCAGGCGCAGGGGCUCCUGUUGGUGUACAAAAGUAGGGUCUCUCCUUUUGCACCCCUUUACUUGUGCACGGGCAGUCAGAACCGCGCCCACGGCCGCACUGAGCAGGGCAGAGGAGGGAUACCGGAGCGCAAGACAACCGAAGCAACGCCAAGACCAGAGACACAAAGAGCAAGGGAGCGAAGUGGACUCCCCCGGCAAGACUCUUGCUGGGGCAGCCUCCUCAGCCCCAGGAAGAGCCUUACCGGGGCAACUUACCCUAUGCCAGCUAAGCGCGCCGCCCUUGAGCCAAGGGGUUCCAACGCCAUCAACCACACCGAAACCAAGGCUCGGGAGGCACCUCCAUGGUGCGUGCAGAUCUUUGUGGAGAUCAUAAAUACACAAGAUCAGAUGAGAACCAGAAGACAACGAUUCUUGGUAAGAUCCUUGCCAAGGAAAUCCACGAGACCCCCGGCAAGAUCCUUGCCGGGGACGACCACGGUGCCAUGGCAAGACCCUUGCCGGGCCCCCGUCAAGACCCUUGCCGAGGACAUCCGUGGGCCGCAGCCAGGCCCACGCCUGCCAAGACUCCACCGCCGCUCCCAUGCAACUGCUAGCUCAACCAGUUGGGCAGGCAUCUACGUCGCAGCAUGGGGCCUCCACACCGACUCAGCAAGCACCUGCGUGGUGGCAUGCAGAUCUUUGUGAAGGCUCCGCCAGCACGCCAGCUCAGCAGCCAGCCAACGUGGCGCUACAACGCCUCGUCAGCUCGGACGCGCAUCAGAGCCAGGCAAGGCGGCGACAGCUGGGAUGAGCUUCCUUGUCGUCUCCGAUAAAGCAACAGGGGCACGUCGGCAGCGCAUUAAAUGCGUUUAUCCGAUGGUGCUAGAGGAUAGACUCAGCCAUGAUACUCCUUUCCACCUCCUGUGUGCCACUGUAGCAACCCCUUUUGUCUGUAAAAGGAGGCCCGAGGCGUACUAGAGGAGGAUUCGGAUCUUUGGAACUAGGGACACACCGUAGCUAGUUCAAGAACUCAAGGACACUCAAAUAUACAUCAUAGCAGGACUAGGGUAUUAUGCGUCUCUGCGGCCCGAACUUGGGUAAACGAUCCUUGUGCUGACCGCCAGACCUGCUCUUUGCACAACCCCGCUCCCGCCAACCGUAGAAGGGAUCCCAGUGAUUCCAUAGGUGUCGUUUCCACCGACACCAUGUACGUGAAAUAACAACCGGCAGAUUGGGAUCCCUUUCAUACAUAGUCUUAUAUCUAGGUGGUCAUCGCCGCCUCAGCGUUGAAUCGACUGGUAGCAUCUCGAGGACGAUCGGGCAGUGGUUUGAGCAAGGAAAUGCCAGGUGAACUACACCUGAUGCUAGAAAUAGGUCACGCCAUUGUUAAUCCGCACAAACAUGGUCCACAUGCACUCGCACAUUGCUAUUAAAUCGAAAACAACAGUAGUGCAGUUCAGUUCAAGUACGGAACAGUGAUGCCCUAUUUUAGGCCAGCUAUUGGAGAUGUCACUUUGUCAUGCCCAAAAAAUCCACUUUUUGGUGUCUUAAAUUUAACACCAACCUCCUUUUGGUGCUCUACAAUAGGGAAGCAAUUGGAGAUGUUGUAAGAAAGUUAUAAAAUGUAGCCUGUGGAAUAAAUGGAGAAUAUUUAAUGCAAAGUAAAUACUAAAGGAUUUGAGCAUCCAUCCGAGAUUUUUGCACAUUACCAUAUUAAUGCAAAAUAAAUACGAUAGGACUCAAGCAUCCCCCGGAGAUUUUAACACACCGCCAUAUUAAUACAAAUAAACACAAUAUGGACUCGAUAAUCCAUCUGUGAUAUUCUUUCACAAAAUAACAUUUUUCAUUUCCAUAUAAUUUUCAAAUUUGUGAUCUUUUUGACAAUACAACAUGCAUAUGAGUGCAAGUUCAAUGACUGGAACAAAGAUGUAGCCCCCAAAACCGAAAGGAAUUUGGUACUCACAUAUGUUUAAACUUGUUGCGUAAUCACAAUGAGUUUUUUUGGCACACCCCUUUAGAAGUUUACAUGAAUCUUAAAGUUACUUAAAAAGGUUUUCACCAUAUUAGCAUGUAGAUCAAUUAUAUCAAAUAGAUUGAUUUGAAUACAAAAGGCUAUAUGACCCUUUUUGAUCGAAAAAGGGUAACUUCUAAUCUCCAUCUUUAAUCUGCAUCAAAAUCUGUAAAAUUUCCUGCGGUGUACCAAAACAAAGUUCAAUUGCAAUUAUUUUUGGUAAAAAAUACCCUAAUGUUUAAGGAAAGCCACAUAUAUGAACAUUCUUUAACAAUACGUAUGAAUAUUCAUUAUUACAGUUUGCAUACCAUCCUUAUUUAAUCACAAUUGUACUGACAUGUAAUUACAAAAGGCUUAUCACCCGGCUUUAUAAAUAAAGUCAUGACAGGAUACAAACACACUGAAAUAGAGGUCCACACAAAGGAAAUAAGUUCAACAACAAGAAAGGAAAAAUUUACUCGUCGGGGGAAACAACAAAACAAGCCCGCAAAAGAACAUAACAUGGUCUCAAGCCGAAUAGAUUAUCAUACCUAAUCUGGACGCAACCUCCUUAUGUUUCCAUGUCAGCUCGUCGAUGGUCGUCUUAUCCCGCCGCUUAGAGAGAGGCUUGCAUAUGGUGUUCAUUUACUUGGAGAAGGCCUAUGAUAAUAUACCGCGGAAUGUCAUGUCGUGGGCCUUGGAGAAACACAAAGUCCCAGCAAAGUACAUUACCCUCAUCAAGGACAUGUACGAUAAUGUUGUGACAAGUGUUCAAAAACGUGAUCUUGACAUUGAUGACUUCCCGAUCAAGAUAGAGAUGCAUGAGGGGUCAGCUUUGAGCCCUUAUCUUUUUGCCUUGGUGAUGGACGAGGUCACGGGGGAUAUACAAGGAGAUAUCCCAUGGUGUAUGCUCUUUGCGGAUUAUGUGGUGUUAGUUGACGAUAGUCGGACGGUGGUAAAUGGGAAGUUAGAGUGAUGGAGACAAACCUUCGAACCAAAAGGGUUUACAAUUAAUAGAACUAAACCGAGUACAUGAUGUGCGGUUUCAGUACUACUAGGUGUGAGGAAGAGGUUAGCCUUGAUGGGCAGGUGGUGCCUCAGAAGGACACCUUUCGAUAUUAGGGGUCAAUGUUGAAGGAGGAUGGGGGUAUUGAUGAAGAUGUGAACCAUCGAAUCAAAGCCAGAUGGAUGAAAUCAUGGCACUCGGGCACUAGUGACAAGCAUUAUUCACAACAAAGUCAUAGCAACAUCAAUCUCAAAACAUAGUGGAUACUAGAGAUCAAGCCCUACCAAAACUAACUCGAUUACAUAAUGAAUCCCACCCAUACCAUCAUCGUCCAGCAAGCCUACGAAGAGAUUACUCACUCCCAGCGCUGAGCAUCAUGAAAUUGGUGAUGGAGAAUGGUUGGUGAUGACAAUGGCGGCGAAUCCCCUUCUUCGAAGCCUAGAACGGACUCCAGAUCUGGCCUCCUGAUGAAGAAGUGGUGGCGGCGGCUUCGUAUCGUGAAACACGAUGAAACUUCCUCUCCUAUUUUUUUGGGAAAUAGGAAUUUAUAGUAUCUAUAAUAGGGUUAGCGGAGCCUCGUGAGCCCCACUACCUACUAGGGCAUGCCAGAGGGGGGGCGCCCUGGUGCCUAGUGGGCAACUGCCCCCCUCUAGUGGGUCUUGGUUCCAGUAAUUUUCAUUUAUUCUAAAAUAAUUCUCCAAAAAGUUUCUUGCAAUUCUGAGAACUUUUAUUUCUACACGAAAACAACACCAUGGUAGUUCUACUGAAAACAACGUUAGUCCGGGUUAGUUUCAUUCAAAUCAUGCAGAUAAGAGUCCAAAACAAGAGCCAAAGCGUUAGGAGAAGUAGAUACGAUGGAGACGUAUCACGUGAUAUUCGGAGCAGUAGAUAAGGUAAUACUUGUCGCAAUGGAGGAGAGCGCUAACCACUCGGUGGAUUCAAGGGGACCGAAAGAGCGGUGGAAUGUGAGGUUCCUCCCUGCAUCCGCAACCGCCAAGGCCACUGAGAUGGAAGGUUGAUCCGGAAUGGCGAAGAGCGCCAGGAAUUGAACAAUGAGUGGUCGGUCAUCAAGCUAAACUAUUCAACAAAAAAUGGGUGUCCAUUCCUCUCUCCACCAUCAGCAAAUACCAGAUGGAAAAUCGAUUUGAUAGGUUGAAUGGCGUGCCAAAAUAUUAGCCUCUGGUCGUGUAGCAAUGAGCGAAGGACUGCCCCUUAAGAUAUUUGUCCUUAAUUAGAUCCAUUUGCUCAUCAGGCACAUGUUCAUGCGACGAGCUGACGUGAUGACUAGACCCCCUAGUCCUUCUCAUGCAAAUGUGCCGCCAUUUGACCAUAUGAUAUUUGUGCUUAUCCACCUCACCUUGCCAAAAGAAUUUGGAUUGAUAUUUGUACAUGUCCGCAUGGGCUCCUUCAGGAAAAUGGUAUAGCCCCAUCGCAAACGUAGGGAGGCUAGCCAAGGAAGAUAUAAUGAGAAUCGAUUUCCCGGCUUUAGAAGUCAAUCUUCCUUGCCACAAAUCUACCCAGGUCUCACCCUCUCCAUCACCGGUCGCGGAUCUCUCCAACAAACCAUCGACACACUAACCGAUAGACCAAGGUACCUAAUAGGGAAUGACCCCGGGAAGCAAUUUAGGAGGUUGGCUAUGGAGGAUCGCUCCUAUUUUGGAACGUUGCAUGGAAAACAAAAAAAAUUCUACGCACACGCAAGAUCUAUCCAUGGAGAUGCAUAGCUAGACAGAGGGAGAUCAUUUCCAUACCCUUGAAGAUCGCUAAACUAAAGCGUUUACCAACGCGAUUGAAGUAGUCAUACACCUUCCCGAUCCUUCCCGAUCAAGUACCGAAUGUAUGACACCUCCGCGUUCAGCACAUGUUUAGCUCGAUGACGUCCUCGCCUUCUUGAUCCAGCUAGAUGGAUGAAGUAAUAGAUGAGUUCCGGUAGCAUGACGGCGUGGUGACGGUGGUGGUGAAGAACAAUCUCCGCAGGGCUUCGCCAAGCACAACGGAAACUAUGACGGAGGAUAAACUAGUGGGGGCGGGGUCCUAGGGUCGUUUCUUGGAGAAAGAGCCUCCUCAAAGUCGGUUUAGCCCGCAAGGCAGGAGUCCUUCUCGGACUCCAGGACCAGACGCCAGGGUCCCUGGAGUCUGGCCCCAGACGCCACCCCUGGCCUUUGCAAAACUCCUUUUGCACCUUCCUAAAUCCUUGCGGGCUUUACCCCUUGUCCCAAAUAAAGUUUUCUCAUACCUGAAAAUUUAGGGAAACAUUCGAAACCCCUUCCGGUGAAUUCUGGAACCCUUCCGGAGACCAAAAACUAUUAUCCCAUAUAUCAAUUUUUACCUCCGGACUAUUCCGGAGCUCCUCUCGUCAUGUUCGUGAUCUCAUCCAGGACUCUGAACAACAUUCGACAACCAACAUACAUAACUCAUAUAAUACUAUACCGUCAACGAAGUUAAGCGUGUGGACCCUACGGGUUCAAGAAUGAUGUAGACAUGACCGAGACGCUUCUUCGGUCAAUAACCAAUAGUGGGACCUAGAUGCCCAUAUUGGUUCCUACAUAUUCUACGAAGAUCUUUAUUGGUCGAACCUUUAUGACAACAUACAUAGUUCCCUUUGUCCGUCGGUAUGUUACUUGCCCGAGAUUCGAUCGUCGGUAUCUUCAUAGCUAGUUCUAUCUCGUUACCAGCAUGUCUCUUUACUCGUUCCGUAAUACAUCAUCUCGUAACUAACUCCUUAGUCACUUUGCUUGCAAGCUUCUUGUGAUGCUGUAUUACCGAGAGGGCCCAGAGAUACCUCUCCGUGAUAUGGAGUGACAAAUCCCGAUCUCGAUUCAUGCCAACUCCACAGACACCUUCGGAGAUAACUAUAGAGCACCUUUAUGAUCACCAAGUUACGUUGUGACGUUUGAUAACACACAAGGUAUUCCUCCGGUAUCCGGGAGUUGCAUGAUCUCAUGGUCGAAGGAAUAUGUAUUUGACAUUAAGAAAGCCGUAGCAAUAAACUGAAGGAUCAUAUGCUAAGAUAACUAAUGGGUCUUGUUCAUCACAUCAUUCUCCUAAUGAUGUGAUCCCGUUAUCAAGCGCAACACAUGUCUAUGGUUAGGAAACAUUAACCAGCUUUUAAUCAACGAGCUAGUCUAGUAGAGGCUUAGUAGGGACAUUGUGUUUGUUUAUGUAUCCACACAUGUAUUUCAGUUUUCGGUCAAUACAAUUCUAGCAUGAAUAAUAAACCUUUAUCAUAAUUAAGGAAAUAUAAUAAUAACCACCUUAUUAUUGCCUCUUGGGCAUAUUUCCAACUGCUCUUGCUCCGAAUAACACAGUACCAUCACGUCACUUUUGGCAAAAUUAAUCAUCAAACACGACAUCUCUUGGAAGAAAAUAUGGAGGAACUGCAAAUUUAUUAUAUCCAUUGGAGUUCACUCCAUAUAAGGAUGGUGUCAUCCGCAUAUUGGAGGUGCGUGACUCCACCUACUGCAAUCAACUGGGCCACCACCCGACACAAAUGGCCAGCACAUCUCCCUUCAUCCAUAAUGGAUGCUAGGCCAUCGAUAACAAUAUUAAAUAAGAACGGAAAGAGUGGUUCAUCUUACCUCAACCCCCCUUGAGGGCUUAAAAAAUGGAUCCGUCUCCCUAUUAAUGUUAAUGGCAGUAUGUCCACUACUAACAAGCUACAUAAUGCGGGUAACCCAUCUACCAUCUAACCCUUUGCGCUGAAGGGAAUCUCUCCAAAAAUCCCAACUAAGCGUAUCAUAAGCCUUAUUGAAAUCAAUCUUGAAAAUACUGCCUUUUGAUGUUUAGUCUUAACCUGGUGAAUGAUUUCAUGUAGUGCCAGUAGCCCAUCAUGAAUUAGAUCACCCUUAAUGAAGGCAGACUGGUUUGGAUGGGUAAUUCUAGCCACUAUAGGUGCCUCCCUCAUGGCGUGCGCCUCGUCUAGGAUGCCGAAGAUCACGUUAAUAGCCGUGAUCGGCCGGAACUGGUGAAUGUCCAUUGCCCAAACUUCUUUGGAGAUCAACGUAACCACUCCAUAGUUAAGGCGGGAUGCGUCGAGCACCGAAUUAUAGAAAUCUCGGAAUAUAAUCAUCACCACCCCUUUAAUGAUCUUCUAGAAUUUCACAAAAAAACCGAACAGGAAGCCCAACCGGGCCCAGGGCAGAGUCGGGUUUCAUCGAGUUCAUUGCCGCUUCAACUUCUAGAAAAGGCUCCAUGAGCCUCAGCCACCCCCUCUGAGACCCACAUCUCGAAGACUCACCCCAGCCCAUUGUUGACUGUUCAAAAGGUUUUUGUAAAAACCAUCAAUGUGAGAGUGGAUCUCCACCUUGUCCUAAAGCAUUGUGACACCAUCCCAAAGGACCACAACCGAGGAUCACGAUGACGACCAUUGGCAAUAGCCUCGAAGUAUGCCGUGUUGGAGUCACCCCUAAAUGUCAAAUUAAACGACCCUAAGAUGACAGUAAAUCUAAUCGUUUCGAAAGAACGUCAUGAUGCUAUCCUCGAGACCACAUCUCUCCAUCCAUUCCUCCGGAUCUAGACCUGCCGUGGUUGACCGAUCAUCAAAGGACUUGAUGGCCACAAGGAGCCCCACCUUGCGGAUCCUCGAGUCUGGCCUAGGUUGCCCCCCCAACCCCGCAUGAAUUGCAUGGAUAAUUUGGUACAGUGAUGCCAAGUGUAUAACACCGACAUCGAUUGGUGGGGGAGUCGAGCGCCUCGAACCACUUGGACAUCACCACCUCGGCAAAACCCGGCUGGCAUUACCCGAAUAUAUAGCUCGAGAUGGAACUAUGGCGGUGGCCGAGGACUAGUUUCCCCGGAUGACAACAAGGGGACAUGAUCUGACCAGGGGCGGUGCCAGCACCAGGAGGCUGUGCAUUCAAAUGCACUAAUGUUUUUUAAAUGUCUUAUUUUCUUGCAUAAAUACGAAUAAAAUUAAGCUUGCAAUCAAAAAAAUUAUGGGGUCAGCUGACCCCACAUCGUACAUGUAGAAUCGCCCUGGAUCUGCCCUAACCCUCCUAGUCAGUAGUCACUGCCCGAAGAGCUGCUAGGGGAAACUUAUGUUCCCUUCAAACGCAACACCCAUAAUAUCGUAGUGCUAAAACUCUAAUCUUUGCCUAUUUUGCUCUUUAAAUUUUUUUUUUGAACGCCAUCUUCAAAAUGCUGAGCAGACAACUUGACCGAGUCUAAGCCAUCAGCACACACAUGUCACGCCUUCCUCCAAUUCGGCGGACAGCGAGUCGCCGGCUCCAGACUCCCUGACAAGUGGACUGGCGAACAACAAUGACAUGGACGAUGAAUAGUUAUUGUGAGCUAUCGCGUGGGUGUGUCCCACCUGUAAGUAUAGAGUGGUAUAACUAGGAGAUGAGCAGUGGUGCUCGGGGUGUGUUGUAAUUGAAUCCUGUGAACCUUCUCAUCUUUUCAGGGUGCGUUUGGUUUGAGGGCUAUCCCUCGUGUGGCUAGGGAUAGCCACUUUUUAAAUGGCUGCCAGGCGUUUGGUUUGAAGUUUAGCGUGGCUGAGGAUAGCCAGAUUCGCAGAAUAUUCCAUCAAAAUCGGGCUGAGCGGAGCCGCCGAAAAGUGGCGGACAUGGCCAACCACUCUGUGCCUGCGCACUCGCCUCGCCGUUUUCCCCUCGUUCUCGCCUCUUCCACCCGCCCCUUGAUAAGAAAAAAACCCUCUCCGUAUCUCUUGCGAAUUUGCGGCGGCGGCCGCCGCCGCCGAACCCCGCGGGGCGUGGUGCUGCAGCGGAUUUAGGGGCGUGAAGGUGAGGGAAGCAGGCGCGGUAGUUCAUGCCGACAAGGGGAAGCAGGGGAUCUGGAGAGCUGCCGGUCGAGGUGGUCGGCGGCGGAUCUGGAGAGCUGCCGAUCGAGGUUGUCGGCGGCGGAUCUGGAUCGAGAACUGAUGUACAUGUGUGGGUCGUGUGGUUCGCGACUACCCAUGCGUGGCUUGCGGCGAAGCGUCGUGUGCAUGCGGCGGAGUGGUGUACGUGCUGGGCUCCGGCCGGCCGCGCGUGCGUUGAUUGUUGUUGCUCUGGUCGGCUGCGCCAUGUCCUGUUCCUUUCGUUGAUUUUUUCUACUCAAAUCUGAUGUUAUCACAACAGCAUAUAUCCUCUUUCCAUCCCUUCAAGCAAACACAACAAUGGCUAUCUUCAACCACCUGACUUUCUAUCUAACCAAACAAAAAAAGUGGCUAUCCCUAACCAGGUGGAUGAGGAUACCCAUAACCACCUUAGCCCAUCCCCUGAACCAAACGCACCCUCAGCUGAUAAUCUCAUCCCCUUUCGUCUGAUAUCUCAUCCCCUUCUCCAAGCUAUCCUCUGAUCCCUAGAUCUCCAGAUCGGGACACCACAAUUGGUAAUCAGAGCCUGUGAUUGCUCCCCUCGCACUCACAAUCCGAGAUCAAUCCGUAAAAUUCCACUGCGAAAGGUGCCUUGAUUUGCUUCGGCUCAUCGGCUCAAAAUCCUUAGCGGGGUUGGAUUCGAUUCAGGAGAGCCGCGACGGCGCUGUCCAAGAUCACGAAGCCCUCGGCGCAGACGGAAAUUUUGUUGGGCACAAUGGAGAAGAUGCAGGCGACGUUGGAUGAGAUCCUGACCCGCUUCACCGCCACGGAUACCAGCGUCAAGACCGUCUCCGAGGAGGUCAUCAGCCUGCGCAAACAGGUAGAGGAGUUUGGCGACGAGAUGGACCACAUCAAGCGCCGCGUCCACGACACCGGCAAGUCAACCCCAUCGUCCUCGUCCGCGCUGCAUCAGGAGACCGCUCCGCCACCUGCCGACAAGGGCCAUGGAGUGCCGCUGCUCGUCAAUAAUCAUCCGCCGCUGCUUGGAACUCCUCAACAGCAGCCGUCCGGAUUUCACACCGCGCCGUCAUCACCACAUGAGCAGGAUGUGCGGCCCACCCUCCACGCCCAACCAGAUCAGGAGGAGUACCGGCCGCGUCAACCACGCCAUGAUUUUCCACGUUUCCAUGGUGAGAUGCCCCUGCUUUGGAUAGACCAGUGCUUGACUUAUUUCGAGAUGUACCGAGUGCCUGUUCAUCACUAGGUCAGUACUGCUACUCUGUACUUGGAUGGAUUGGCUGCGAUGUGGUUUCAGGCAUAUAAGCGUUUGCAUAGACGUCUCACUUGGGAUGAAUUCACGGGUGCUGUGGUGACUGAAUUUGGGCAUGACGAGUAUGAUGUUCACAUGACUAAGUUGCAGCAGUUACGGCAAACCACUUCUGUGAAUGAAUAUAAGGCCCAAUUUGAAGAGUGUAUGUAUCAUUUCUUUCUCUGGAUCCAACCAUGAGCACUCGCUGGUUUGUCUCUCAGUUUGUCUUUGGAUUACGAGAUGAGCUUUGUGGACCUGUGAGAUUGCAGGCUCCUACUAGUGUUACUUGCGCUGCAGCUUUGGCAAAAAUUCAGGAAGAAGAAGUGGAACACAUACGACCCAGAAAUCGUCCCGCAGCUCCAACAAAACAUCCACCACAACCUGUAGCAGGUGUGGUGCAUACACCAGCUCUGGGACGAACAGAAUUGCCUCCCCGUCAGGGCAAUGAUGACUUUAACAGGGAACGGCAGAUCCGUGAUUUUCGGCGCGCCAAUGGUCUUUGUUUUAAAUGUGGGGAUAAGUAUUCCAAAGAGCAUCAGUGUAAAAGAUCAGGUCAGCUACUCACUAUUGAAGUUGGAGAAUUUGGUGAAGUAUUAUCAGAUGAUGCAGUGGUUGCCCUGGAUCUCUUGGAAGAAACAAAAAUACCCGCUACUUGCUAUCAUCUUUCUAUGCAUGCUCUCGCGGGAACAGAAGCUUUGGAAACUGUUCGCAUUCGUGCUUUGGUGGGAAAUCAGGUGAUGCUCUUGCUUAUUGACUCUGGCAGCACACACACGUUUGUAAAUAAGAGCUUUGCAGAGCGUGCUGGUUGCACUAUUCAGUUAGUCCCAAUAGUUUCAGUUAAGGUAGAAAAUGGACAAAUUUUGUCGUCUGAUGCUCAAGUACAAGGGUUACAGUGGUGGACACAAGGAUCUACAUUUGUAACUGAUAUGAGGGUCCUGGAGCUUGGGGCCUAUGAUGCCAUAUUAGGCAUGGACUGGCUAGAGCAGUUCAGUCCUAUGAUCUGCCAUUGGCGUCAGAAAACAUUAACAUUCGAUUAUUUGGGAAAAUCCAUUACACUGCAGGGUGUCCUUUCUAAACCACAAGAGUCACUCCGGGAAAUGUCUCUGGAACAGUUAAAUAAGUGGAUUUCGGGGAAUGAGGUCUGGGCCAUGGCUAUGAUUGAUCCUAUACAGCAAACAACAGAAUCUGUACCCAACAUAGUGCAAUCAGAUAUGCAGUCUUUACUCGAGGAAUACCAUGAUGUUUUUGAUCAGCCCACUACUUUGCCACCGCAUCGUGCCUUGGAUCAUUCGAUCUCGUUAGAACCAGGAGCUCAUCCAACAAACAGUCGCCCCUACCGGUACUCUCCAUUGCAAAAGGACGAGAUCGAACGUCAGGUCUCGGAAAUGCUUGACAGAGGGGUGAUUCAGACAAGCAUGAGUCCGUUCGCGUCUCCGGUGCUGUUAGUUAAAAAGAAGGACGACACAUGGCGAUUUUGUGUUGAUUAUCGUCGCUUGAAUUCCAUAACUUUGAAGAACAAGUUUCCCCUACCGGUCGUUGAUGAGUUGCUGGACGAAUUGGCUGGCACUAAAUUUUUCUCCAAGUUAGAUUUACGCGCAGGAUACCAUCAAAUUCGCAUGAGGCCAGAGGAUGAAGAAAAGACAGCCUUUAAAACACAUCACGGCCACUUUCAAUUCCGAGUGAUGCCAUUUGGAUUAACGAAUGCACCAGCCACAUUUUAGUGCAUUAUGAAUCUCAUUUUUGCUAAAUACCUCCGCAAGUUUGUGAUAGUCUUCCUGGACGAUAUCUUGGUCUACAGUUCAUCUUGGGCAGAGCAUUUAGAGCAUCUGCGUCUGGUGUUCGAAACACUUCGUCAGGCUCAAUUCUUUGCUAAGUUAUCCAAGUGUUCUUUUGGGCAGAACAGUAUUCAGUAUCUUGGCCAUAUUAUCUCUGAUUCCGGUGUUGCAACCGAUCCCGAGAAAACAGUGGUGAUGGAACAGUGGCCAAUUCCUAAGACAGCAACUGAACUACGAGGAUUCCUUGACCUAACAGGUUAUUACCGUAAAUUUGUUAAACAUUAUAGUCUGAUUGCUAAACCACUGUCUCAACUUCUGACCAAAAAGGGUUUCUACUGGAAUGAACAAGCAACACAAGCAUUUCUUGCUCUGAAACAAGCUAUGGCACAGGCACCUGUCCUGGCAUUGCCCAACUUUUCCGAGCCCUUCACCGUGGAAACUGACGCUUGUGGCACUGGAGUGGGGGCAGUGUUAAUGCAGAAAGGGCAUCCAAUUGCAUACAUGAGCAAGCCUCUUGGGAUACUUAACUGUAAAAUGUCCAUCUAUGAAAAAGAAUUCCUUGCUGUGAUUAUGGCUGUGGAUAAGUGGCGUCCUUAUUUACAGUGCGGCCCAUUUCAGAUAGUCACCGAUCAUAAGAGCCUCUGCAACCUAGAGGAUCAAAUUUUGACUACUGAUUUGCAACGCAAGGCAAUGGCCAAGCUCGUGGGUUUACAGUUUCAGAUUAAGUACAGAAAGGGAAGUUAUAACGGUGCUGCCGAUUCCUUGUCUCGAGUGGGCCAUUUAUUGGAAACACAUGCCAUUUCCACCUUGCAACCUGAUUGGGUCCAGGAGGUUUCCAAUUCCUAUGUCACUGACACAGUGGCCACUCAGUUAUUACAAGAAUUGGCAAUUCAAUCUCCUAAUGCAAAAGGUUAUGCAUUGAAGAAAGGCCUAAUUACUUACAAAGGCAGAAUGUAUAUUGGUGCAAAUCUUGCCCUACAAACUAAGCUGAUAGCAGCUCACCAUGAUACUGCAGUGGGAGGCCAUUCAGGUAUUCAAGCCACAUACCACAGAUUGAAGCAGCUGUAUUAUUGGCCAGGUCUUAAGGUUGCCGUGGAAAAUUAUAUCCAUCAAUGUAUAGUGUGUCAACAAGCAAAACACACUAAUACAAAACCAGCUGGCCUUCUGCAACCCUUGCCACCCCCGACAGUCCUUGGACUGAAUUGACAAUGGAUUUCAUCGAGGGUCUUCCUAAUUCAGAGGGUGCAAAUUCAAUAUUGGUGGUCGUUGACCGCUUAACAAAGUAUGCUCACUUUCUGCCCUUGCAUCAUCCUUUCACAGCAACUUCAGUGGCCAAAGUUUUCCUGGAUAAUGUGGUGAAACUACAUGGUAUUCCCAAAACCAUUAUCUCUGAUCGUGAUAAGAUCUUCACUAGUAAGUUUUGGAGAAACCUGCUGCAAUCCAUGGGUAUUGAGCUCCACUACAGCACCGCUUACCAUCCGCAAACCGAUGGUCAGAGCGAACGAGUAAAUCAAUGUUUGGAGCAGUAUCUUCGUUGUGCUGUACAAGACAAUCCUCGUCAUUGGCGUCGUUGGCUAUCCAUGGCAGAGUUCUGGUACAAUUCCAGUUUUCAUACUGCUCUUCAAUGCUCACCAUUCCAAGCUUUGUAUCACAUUGCCCCAAAUUUUGGAGGAAUGCCUAACCUUACCGUGUCCAAUGACUCGCCAGCUGCUAGUGUUGUUAUCGACUAUAAGGCACCGACUGAACUUUUGCGUGCUCAGCUGAUACGAGCCCAACAACGCAUGAAGAGCUAUGCUGACAAGAACAGGACUGAACGUCAGUUUCAACCGGGUGAUCAAGUUUUGCUGAAACUCCAACCUUAUGCCCAACAAACAGUGGUCAAUCGUCCAUAUCCCAAAUUAUCCUACAAGUAUUUCGGUCCAUAUACUGUUCUGGAGCGCAUUGGUGCUGUCGCAUACAGACUACAAUUACCAGUUUCAGCUCAGGUACACCCAGUCUUUCAUGUGUCCCAAUUGAAGCCAUUUACUCCAAACUACACUCCUGUGUAUACGGAUAUUCCUGCCGUGCCGGAUUUGACAACAGUAGCACCGGUACCUGUUGCAAUCCUUGAUCGUCGGAUGGUACGCAAGGGCAAUGCAGCAGCACCUCAAGUUCUCAUUCAAUGGGCACAUGUUCCUCCAGAGCGUGCUACCUGGGAGGAUUACUAUGUCGUCAAAAGCAGAUUUCCUGAAGCUCUUCUGUGGGACGAUGAGCAAGCUCAAGCGGGGGGCAAUGUCACGCCUUCCUCCAAUUCGGCGGACAGCGAGUCACCGGCUCCAAACUCCCUGACAAGUGGACCGGCGAACGACGAUGACGUGGACGAUGAAUAGUUACUGUGAGCUGUCGCGUGGGUGUGUCCCACCUGUAAAUGUAGAGUGGUAUAACUAGGAGAUGAGCAGUGGUGCUCGGGGUGUGUUGUAAUUGAAUCCUGUGAACCUUCUCAUCUUUUCAGCUGAUAAUCUCAUCCCCUUUUGUCUGAUAUCUUAUCCCCUUCUCCAAGCUAUCCUCUGAUCCCUAGAUCUCCAGAUCGGGACACCACAACACACUGUACGCUCGAUCCAGUUUAGUAUCCCAAACAUUAAAUGGUAGUGAUAUAUGGCCCUGGAAACUGAUCGAACUUACUAAUUCCUAUAGUAGUAUAUGUGGACCCAAAAUCAAUCUCCAGCGUGUAGAUAUCUCCAUCAAAAACACACUCGUCUCCUCGACCCCAAAGUUAAUGCCCAAUACUUAUCAUUACACAAAGAAAGGAAGUAAUUAAUGCAUCAAUUAAUGAGAAGCGAGUAUAGGACUCGAGAGCAUAUCCAUCCAAGAGCGUUCACCUAUAAAAACACCCCUGCUCGAUGAAUCCAUCCUGUGCCUUCCGAGACUGUAUUCUAUUGCCUUUUGAGCAAGCACUCUUGCUCGAUCGAUCGAUCGACCGAUCCCGUGCCUGGCCACUGGUUGGCGAGCAUCUUACGCAAUGGCAGGUCGCCCGUUGCUGGUCCCGGCUGUCAUGCUGCGUCCUCCUGGACCGGCGUUGGGCUCGAGGGCCUCACUAUACGUCGGCGACCUAGAUGAUGGCGGGGCAUAUCUACGCCCUGUUCUGCCAGGUGGCGCCCGUGGCGUCCCUCCGUGUCUGCCGGGACGUCACUGGCAGGUCACUUGGUUAUGCCUACGUGAAUUUCUACAGUCGGGAGGACGGUGAGUUUGGCUUCAUCUCUUUUUUUUUUCUUUUUUUUGGGGUUGUCUUUGUCUCUUUGCAUGUUCAUCUACUCAGGCUUGGAUUGGGGAUACAAAGAACUUACGAGGCUGCGUGGUUUUAGAUCUUGGUUGUGUAGUCUGUGAUUUACUAGAUUUCCCAUACAAGAUGUGGCACACCAUCGGUUGAAGUUCUAUUUUGGCAUUUUCUUGUUCUGGUCAACAGAGGCGAGGGUCUUUUGAUGGAACGCGUGUAGAUAGUGUGUUGACCUGCAGUUUGUAGAACAACAUGUCACUAACAUGAGUAGUGUUGGAAUCCGUAACCGUUUCGGGUUUGCGGAAUCUGAUGCUCUCGGAAUCGGGCUCGGAAUAGGAUAAAUGAUUGGCAAAAGCCAAUGGACACACACAGUGGUUGCAAUUAAACGUGUGUUUACCUACAUACCAUAUAUUUCUGUCGUAAAAGAAAUUGACAUGUUCCUAUUAUUGGUGAUGUCUUUCUUAUUCAGGUCGUAACACUUGAGAAUUGAAUCGCAAGUUGAAUUGUAGUUUGUUGUUAAGUUAGGUUGGUUGUUUUCAAAUUAGCCAACAUUAAUUGCUGUUUGUGUCUGAGUGAAAGGCUUCAUACACUGCUUUUGUUUAUUAUGAACAGACGAGAAUAGGAAUUUGGGCUAAAAUCCUGCUAAGAGUUCUCUAUAGAUUGUGCACCAUGGGGUAGAAAAUCGCUGUAGAUAAUAUAGUGUUGUCGGAAUCUGACUCAGAACCGGAUGUAUGAUUUGGGAAAAAUAAGUAGACACACACAAUUGUUCCAAUUAAUAUGUGUUUAUCUGUUCGCUGAGUUAUGCCGUAAACGAAAUGACAUGUUCAUAUUACUGGUGGUUGUCUAUCGUAUUUAUGGUGUAACAUUUGGGAGUUGAAUCGUUAGCGAGAGGAAUUGUAGUUUUUAUUAAACUAGGUCACAUGAUUUGUUUUCAAGUCAGACAAGAUUGAUCAUUGUUACCAAUGAGGGAAUGACUUCAUAGAUUGCAUUUGGCGAUUAGGAAGAGAAUGGAAUUUUGACUAAAUCUCGGUAAGACUUCUUUAUAGAUUGGGUUUAUGCACAUUCCAUAAAAAAACCAAGACCCUCGCUUCGAUAGAUCACAACAAGAAAUAUAACUUCAAGGCACUGUAGAUUAGGAAGAGAAUGGAAUCGGCAGUUUGUAGAUUGGGAAGAUAAUGGAAUCAGCAGUUUGUAGAACAUGGUGCCGAACACUGACAUCAGGGUUAGAAUCCGUAACCGAUUCGGGUUUCCGAUAUGGCAAAAAAUCUUUGUGGAAACAAAUGCUGUCGGAAUACGACUCAGAGUCGGAUGUAUGAUUCGGAAAAGUCAAGUAGGCACACACACCGGUUGUAAUUAAUGUGUUUUUAUAUACCUAUAUAUUUUUGUGACAAACUAAAUGUUCCCAUUAUUGUUGAUGUCUAUCUUACUUACGCCGUAAUACUUGGAUUGAAUCGUCAGCGAGAGGAAUUGUAGUUUUUUGUGAACUUUGGGUUGGUUUGUUUCAAAUUAGCUAACAUUAGUUGUUGAUUCCAUCUGAGUUUAUGGCUUCAUAGAUUUCUUCUGGUCAUUACGAAUAGAAAAGAAUAGAAUUUGGGUUAAGAUCCUAUUAAGAUUUCUGCGUAGAUUUGCACCAUGGUGUAAAAUUCGACGCGGAAAAUAACGUUGCCGAGUAUGUCGGAAUCCGACUCAAAAUCGGAUAUAUUAUUUUGAAAAAGCAAGUAGGCACACACAAUUAUUAUUUUAGUUAAUGCAUUUUUUGUACUUGCAGGAUUCUCUCAUAAACAAAAUGUUAUGUUCAUAUUAUCGGCGUCGUCUAUCUUACUUACGGUCUAACUUUUGGGAGUUGAAUUGGUUAGCGAGAGAAAAUUUAGCUCUUUGUUAAAUUGGGCCACACGGUUUAUUUAUAAGAUAGCCAAGAUUUGUAGAUUGCACACGGGAAUUAAGAACACAAGAGAAUGGAAAUAGAGCUUAAAUUUCCUUACGAUUUCGUUGUAGAUUGUGCAUCAUGCAUGGUGUAGAACGUCAUCCUGGAAGUUAACAUUGUCACAAUCCGACUUGGACUCGGAUGUGCAUAUGAUUAGGAAAAAACAAAUAGCUAGAAUUUGGUUACAAUUAAUGUGUGUCUAUGUUCUUAUUUCUUUCUAUCUAAACAAAAGGACAUGUUUCUGUUAUUGGUGUUGUCUAUCUUUUUUAUGAAGUAACAUUUGGGAGUUUACUUGGUUAGUGAGCGACUUUUUUAAAGUUUAGUCCAUGCAGUUUGUUUUCUAGUUUAACCAAUAUUCAUUCUUGUUUCCAUUGAUGCCUCCAUAAGUUGGUGUGGCAAUUUGGAAAAUAUAAACAGGAGGGAACUGAAUGUGGGUUAAAAGGUCGUUAAGAAUUUUUCUAGUUUGUGCACCAUGGUGUUGAAAUGUGCUACAUUACACUAGGUAGAUUGUAUGAUCACGAUGGCCCCAUGGAUUUCAUAGUUAACCUAGUCAAAUUUUCAUCAGUUUAUUCAUGCUCCACGCUGCCAAAUUAGUUACGAGCGAAAUUGUACAUAGUUCAAAUUGGAUAUUAGCUUUGCAUAUCGGACAUCCGAUAAUUAUCUGCUCGAUGAACAUCCUGUCAUAUAUAAUACACCAUGUUGUAUCGUGGUCAAUUAUACAUAUACAUACCAUACCUACACUAUUGUUUUCACCUUAACCUGAUUUCUUUUUCUUUGUAUUUGUAUGUUUGCUUGCCCUACUAGAGGAUUUGAGUUUAAUACUACAAUUACCUCUAAUAAUUUUGUAUGUGAUUGUUUUGCAGCCAAACGUUCAUUAGACUCUUUAAAUUUUACACCUCUCAACGGGAAGCAUAUCCGAGUUAUGUUCUCGAAUAGGGACCCAAAGCUGCGAUUGAGUGGAAAGGCCAAUAUAUUCAUAAAAAAUCUUGUGCCAAAUAUUGAUGGCAAGAGCUUGAGUGAUAUGUUUGGUCGCUAUGGCACUAUACUAUCAUGCAAAGUGGCCACUCACUUUGACGGUCAAUCAAAAGGGUACGGAUUUGUUCAGUUUGCAGAGGAGACAUCUGCCAAUGAUGCCAUCGACAGCUUGAAUGGCAAGUUGGGUUGAAUGGCAAACAAAUUUUUGUAGGUCUCUUCAUUCGUCGUCAGGAGAGGCAGCCAAAUAUCAGCGCGAGUAAUUAUACAAAUGUAUAUGUGAAGAACUUGCCAAAGGAAUUCACUCACAAUGACCUUCUGCAAGAGUUUGGUCCUUUCAGUACAAUUACUAGCGCUGUAAUCAUGAGAGAUAAUGAUGGAAUAUCCAAAUGCUUCGGAUUCGUUAACUAUGGGGAAUCAGAAUGUGCUGCAGAAGCUGUGAAAAGUCUUAAUGGUAAGAUGAUUAAGGAUACAAUUUUGUAUGUUGGAAGAGCUCAGAAAAAGUCAGAAAGAGAAGCAGAACUGAAAGAAAACUUUGAGCGUGCGAGAAAUGAGAAAUUCAAAAAGUUUGAAGGGCUCAAUCUAUACGUGAAGAACCUAGAUGAUAGUAUUAAUGAUCGAAAUCUUAGAGGGUUAUUUGAAUUUUUUGGUGAGAUAGGAUCAUGCAAGGUAGUUCUCUCUUUAUUUGCUAGCUAAUUUUGUUUCUUAGUAUCAUGGCUCACCUUCUUAACAUUUUUUUUGGUUAUGGUUGAUUCACAAUGAAGGAGCAAGGGUUAUGGCUUUGUGUCAUUUACAACUAUUGAAGUUGUCCACAAGGCUGUAAGUAACAUGGUUUAGUUGUAUGCAAACGUACCCAAUGCAUCCAGUUGACUAGUUUAGAUUAUUAAAUCAUCUUUGAUCAAUGUGGUAGAUUGACGGGAUGAACAGGAAGAUAGUCGGCAAAAAGCCAUUGUAUGUUGGUGUAGCUCAACGCAAAGAGGAAAGACGAGCGAUGCUAGUGGUAAAUCUUUCCCAAGUGAUCAUUUUGUACAUUAGGUGCCUUCUGCUGAUAAGUGAUAAGUAGUGACUUCUUUUAAUUAAUCUUAUAUGCUGAUAAGUGCUGUUUGAGUUCUAAUAUUGCUAUGUGACAUGUCUACUACAUGUCCAAUUAUUUACGUAUUAUUUGUUUCAUUUUUACACAUAGCUGAUGAACUAAAAGAAAAUCAGUUCAGUUAUAAAUAAGUUGUAUAUUGUCCCAUCCUAAGAAUAACAUAGACUGAGAAUCAAUGUGGAUGAGUGUUAACAAAAUGGUUAUUUUUUUACCGUCCAAAUAAACUUAAGUAAAACAGGUUCUCUCUUGUCACCUGUGUGUCACUGAAUAUUUGAACAUUAGAUCUGCAACUGUUUCAAGAAUAUAAACAAGGGACACAGCACAAGCUUAAUGCUACUGACAUUGUUUCUAGGCACACUUUGCUCGUUUUCAGAACACAGGAGUUCUAGCACCCGCAGUACCACAAAAUUUUGCUCCCCGUCAGUUCUACGUCGGUCCAGGAGUGCCUGGCAUGUUCCCACCACUGGUUCCUGCAGGCUUCGGGUAUCAACAAUUCCUACAACAGCAUUUCACUCCUUGGGUUCCUAGCGGCAUGACGCCAUAUACGUAUAACAUGCCGAGGCCACUACACCAUGCUUGGCGUGGUGUGCAUCAAGAAAUCAAUUUACACCGACAGGUAUUAUGGCAUGAGAGAUGAACAUUUUUUGACUUAAUUUUUUUAAUCCUUAAUGCAUCAGCUACUCUUGCAAAGUGCAUCCAGCCGUGCCCAUGUUCAGAUUAGGUCACAAGUAGUCAAUUCACCUGACUUUCUUGCUUUUACAAUGCAGAUGGUGUACCCAAAUACCAACCAAGCCUUCACAUACAUGCCAAAUUCUAUGAAUGUGAAUGCCAACUCUGUGAUGGUUCCCCCUGGCUUCGCACAAAGUGAUAGUACUGUCUCUACUCCAUCUGUUCCAAGCAAGAACACCACCACCACUGCUGUAGAUUCUUCUUACCUGGAGAAACAACAUCCAGUAAGGACAGUGGAAUUAUAUUAGGACGUGCUAAUUUCACAGUUACAAAUUUUACUUGGCACGCAUGUUUAUAUAUUAGCCAUUUAUGUCAAUGAAGGGUGAAUUUUUAGUUUGUUCGUAUACUUUGUUUAUCUUGCAGAUUCAAGACGAGAAAUUGUACCCACUGGGUGAACAGCUUGAGCCAGAAUUAGGAGGGAAGGUGACAGGGAUACUGGGUGAAGCAAUGGAAGCUCUGCAAGGAAGGAAACUGGAAGAGGCCAGGGAUACUGUUGACCUCGCAACCAUACCAUCAUCAUCGACCUUGAGUGUUAGCAGAGAUGCUAUUGACCCCGCUUCGACAGCGUCGUCCUCGAGUGCUUCCGCUGACGGUGCUAACCUUGCUCCGUCACCAUCAUCCUCGAGUGCUUGAACGCUGGUUCCUAACAUCUCUGUCGACCUGAAAUUUAGAUGGUUGGAUAAUGUUUAAGAAGAUUCCUGGUUUGAUGUUGCUUCAUGAUAUUUUCUGUCAGAGUUUUAUUCUUGUUUGUUUGUUUGUUCUUUGGUUAAAGUGCAACUGCAUUUUCCCCAAUAUUUAGGAUAACUUCAUCAAAUAAAAAAAUUAGACAGUGCCCUCUUCCUUUGGCAGUGAUUCUAGUUUCUUCCAAUAUUACGUAAAAGAUAUAAUAGUUUAACGAUAUCUGUUUAACAAUUCAUGAUGGCCUCACAAAACACACAGAGAUGCUAUUGACCCCGCUUCCACAGCGUCGUCCUCGAUUGCUUCCGCUGACGGUGCUAACCUCGCUCCGGCACCGUCAUCCUCAAGUGCUUGAAUGCUGGUUCCUAAUAUCUCUAUCUCGACCUGAAAUUUAGAUGGUUGGAUAAUGUUUAAGAAGAUUCCUGAUUUAAUGUUGCUUCAUGAUAUUUUCGGUCAGAGUUUUAUUCUUUUCUGUUUGUUCUUAGGUUAAAGUGCAACUGCAUUUUCCCCAAUAUUUAGGAUAACUUCAGAUAAAAAAUUAGACAGUGUCUUCUUCCUUUAGCAGGGAUCCUAUAGUUUACGUCCAAUAUAAGGACAAGAAAAUAGUUUGACGGUAUCUGUUAAACAAUUCAUGAUGGCCUCGCAAAAGAAAAACACAACAACCAAAAGUGCAAAUAGCAUGUUAUGGCAAAUAGCUUCAGCCUCUAAAUCAGCUAAAUUGAUGCUAAACAGGGGCUAAAUGGCGCUAAAACUGCCAAGUAGUACUAUAUGGAGAGGUCGUUUACAUGGACAAGUAGCAUUUGCUUUUCUCUUCUACAACUAUAUCUCCUAAUCUUUCGUCAGUUUAUAUAUUACUAAUGUUCAACUCAUCUACCCGGGGAAAAGGCCCUCUCCUCCAUGACAGAACGAAAAUCCUAAGCCCCCUCGCCGCGCCGUACAACGCCCCAGGGUAGCUUGUGCCAAACGGUCAAUGUGCCUGCGAGUUGCCUCAGGCGAAGGCGUCGGCGGCGUGAACCAUGUGCAGUGGGAUGCUAGGGGUGAGCGACCACAGGAAUGUUUAGAGUAUUGUGCACAUCUCACAGACUGCUAGAUGUUUCAUGUGAUGUAGAAGUACAUAUAUGCAUUCAAACUUGUCGAUAGAUGCAUGGAAGAAACUAGUUAAGAAUUUUGAGGCAUACAAUGUGGAAUUUGCAAGCUUCAUCUCCGCAGGUGUAUAGCACCAUGCAUGUGCCAUCAAGCUUACGUAACCGUUGAAUAUGAUUACGUCUAGCUCACCAAACAGCCCUGCGAUGCAGGUAAGCUGUGUUUCUUUCUCCUUCUCUUAAACACGUAAUCCUUGAGCGCUGCAACCAUAGCAUCGUUUCUCUGUAGAGAAGCUCAUCAAGCUCAUGCAUCAUCUGCCGGAUGAAACGAUGAUCGACAUUGUUCUCUUGCAAGGAUGCAAGUUCAGACCGGAGCCUCUCAAUAUCACGUAGCACAUGCCCAAAGGUUUUACUGCUCCAUUUCCAAAGAUUGUACAGAGUUCCUUCAACGAGUUUGACACCGACUCCAAGUUUCCAUCUGGUCGACUCCGCACCCAUGUGUCGGUGUACAAAAUUAGGGGCUCUCCUUUUGCACCCCUUUACUUGUGCACAUGCAGUCAGGGCCGCGCCUACGGCCGCACUGAGCAGGGAAGAGGAGGGAUGCCGGACGGCAAGACAACCGAAGCAACGCCAAGACCAGAGACACAAAGAGCAAGGGAGCGAAGUCGACUCCCCCGGCAAGACUCUUGCUGGGGCAACCUCCGCAGCCCCGGCAAGAGCCUUGCCGGGGCAACUUGCCCUAUGCCAGCUGAGGACGCCGCCCUUGAGCCAAGGGGUUCCAAUGCCAUCAACCGCAUCGAAAUCAAGGCUCGGGAGGCACCUCCAUGGUGGCAUGCAGAUCUUUGUGGAGAUCAUAAAUACACAAGAUCAGAUGAGAACCAGAAGACGACGAUCCUUGGCGAGAUUCUUGCCAAGGAAAUCCAUGUGACCCCCGGCAAGAUCCUUGCCGGGGACGACCGCGGUGCCACGGCAAGACCCUUGCCGGGCCCCCGGCAAGACCCUUGCCGAGGACAUCUGCGGGGCCGCAGCCAGGCCCACGUCUGUCAAGACUCCACCGCCGCUCCCAUGCAGCUGCUAGCUCAACCAGUGGGGCAGGCGUCUACGUGUCAGCAUGCGGCCUCCACACUGACUCAGCAAGCACCUGCGUGGUGGCAUGCAGAUCUUCGUGAAGGCUCCGCCAUCACGCCAGCCCAGCGCCAACCAAAGUGGCGCUACAACGCCUCGUCGGCUUGGACGCGCGUCGGAGCCAGGCGAAGCGGCGACAGCUGGGACGAGCUUCCUUGCCGUCCCCGAUAAAGCAAGAGGGGCACAUCGACAGCGCAUUAAAUGUGUUUGUCCGACGGUGCCAGAGGAUAGACUCAGCCACGAUACUCCUUUCCACCUCCUGUGUGCCACUGUGGCAACCCCUUUUGUCUAUAAAAGGAGGCCCUAGGCGUACUGGAGGAGGAUUCGGAUCUUUGGAACUAGGGACACACCGUAGCUAGUUCAAGAACUCAAGAACACUCAAAUAUACAUCAAAGCAGGACUAGGGUAUUACGCAUCUCCGCGGCCCGAACCUGGGUAAACGAUCCUUGUGCUGACCGCCAGACCUGCUCUUUGCACAACUCCGCGCCCGCCAACCGUAGAAGGGAUCCCAGUGAUUCCGUAGGUGUCGUUUCCACCGAGAUCUUUGGCGCGUCACGUAGGGGGCGCAGUUGUGGAAAUCUGGUCUGGUUGAAGCAGCGACUUCAUCAUGGUCGUCACUCCAAGGAAGAAGACGACCGAACAAGUGGCGUCCUCGGUGGAUGCAAUGAACACUCGUGCAGCGGCAUAUAAGCUAAGUCAUGCAAAACUUUGAGCAAUUCCUUUUUAUAUAUAAGGUUUUCGUCCUCGACGAUCUUGCCCUGUGUAUGGAAAACCUGCACGCAAUGGGGCCUUGUCACUAUUGGCAACCCCCUCGUUCUAUUUCGAGACCGCUCAAUAGUUCUAGCGGCUGUGUCGAGAACGGCAUGGUGACCUUCUGUGAUUGGCAACGCUCUCGUUCUGUCUCGAGUCUGCUCGACAGUUCGAGCGGCCGCGUUAAGAGCAGUGAGGUGGUUUGCCCGGCAGCAAGCACACCCGGCAGGCCAUUGGGGAUCCGUCCUCGAGGCACCGCGACAUGGGAUUUCGCACCGGCAAGCCUACCCGAUUAAUGUAGGGUGGACAUACAAAGGGAGAUCAAACGGGAAAAUAACAUGCAUCGUUUCAAAAGCACUGCAGAGUUAUACUACAUCAAUUGUUGCUGCGGUUCUAACUAAAGAUAAAAAUUAUCUUGGUUGUGAACUUGCAGCAGCGAUAAGAAAUGGGGUGCCUAGUCCCGGCGCUGGCCUUCUAUCCUCCGAACUCCGUCGAUGCGGCUGAUGACGGGCUCGAUACGCUCCUUGAGUGUCGCGGGGUCCAUGUCCUCCGGCAAGCUGUCCAGCGCAACUUUGAAGUUGAGGUCAGGGUUCCAGUACGCCACCUUGGUGAGGACCUUGGUCAUGGCACCCCGGCAAAGCCUCCAGGCCUCAUCAACCAGAGAGGCCGCCCUGUUAAAGCGAAACUACUCCAGGGCCCCGAGAACACCCUCGAAGAACAAGGUCAGCCUGGCAUUGGGACUCACGUUCGGCUUCGGGACGUACCUCAUGUUUGGCAUCCCCAUGGUAGCCAGCUGCGUGGUGAUCCUACCAGCAAUAUCGGCGAGGCGGCUGAUCCAGAGGUUUUCGCCCUUCACAAAAUCCUCGUGGUUGGCGGCUUCGUUCUUCCGCAGUUGCCUCUCCUUCUCCAGAUUCUUGGUCAGUGUCUCCUCCUGGGCCCUGACCUCCGACAGCGUACCCUCCAGACCCUCCAGCUUCAGCUUCAGGUCUUGGAUGGAGUUGUUGGCCUUCGAGAGUAGCUCGGCCUCGCCGAGGACUGUGGCCUGCGCAUCAGCCAAAUCGCCUUUGGCCGCGUCCCUCUCCCCCUUCAGCUCUAGGAUCUGCUUCUUCAGCCCGUCUCGCUCCACCUCCAGCUCGUUCACCUUGCCGGCAUGGACCUGGGCCUGAGCAUUGAGUGCCUCCUCGUGCCUCUACUCCAGUUCCUGGGUCCGCUACACGACAAGCUCCUUGACCUCCCCGACCUUCCCGCAGAGUGUCGCGGCGAGUUUCUCCUCGCGGGCGGCAAGGUCGUCCUCCUGGGAGUUCAUCGCGGCCUGGUGCUAGCGCCGAGCGGCCUCGUCCUUGGCGGCCUGUUGUCUCGCCGCCUCCUGGGCCUUCUCAAUAUCGGUCUGCUUCAUGACAAGCUCCAGCUUGUGCUCGGCCAGCAGAUCCUAGGCGGUCUUCAGUUCCUCACAGGCCUGGCGGAACCAAGCCUGCGUCUCGGUGACGCGCCCCUCGAGGUCCGCCUCUGCCUUGUCCACCUCCGCCAUCCUGGACUUGGCCUUGUCCAGGCGGGCACGGUGAAACGCCUGGAGCUUGUGGAAGUUGGCGCUCAUGCCCUGGAGGAGCCACUCUUCCUGGGAACUGCCGCCAUCGGUGCUCAGUUCAUCAACGACCUCAAGCCCGGCGGUGGCAAGCACCUCGUCGUCGAACACCUCCCCCUCAGCGGGUGCCCUGGUGCUCGCCGUCCAUGGGAGGUGGACGAACAUGUCGUCGCUCACCUUCAGGUACUUGCUCGAGCCAGAGGCGGCGGAGGAGGAAGGAUGGUCGUCAACCACCUCCUCCUAGACAUGAGGUACGUCCUUGCUGGGGACGCCCCUCGGGGCGGCAUGGUUGAUGGGGGUGGUGUGUUGGGGGUGGCCCUCGGUGACUCCUCUGGGUGCCGUCCUCCUCCUGCAACCACGGCAAGGUCAGCACCAAGAGAUUGUGUCCCAGCACAUGUUGAUGAGGAGUGAUUGAUGAAUGCAUGCUGGGGGCUGCGCCGGGGGCUGAUAUCCGGGCUGUUCUCCACCACCAGCGGCGUACUCGAGGUGCCCUCCGGGGGCUGACCACCCGUCGAGGCCCUGGCCCUCUUCGCCACCCUCUGGGCCAGCGUCUCCAUAUCCCUGCGAAGAUGAGGACAAGUCAAGACAAGCGACACGAUCUGAGGGGACGGAGAUGACAAAAGACAAUAUACUUACUCAUCCUCCGCCUCCUCUUCCGUUGCCUUCCUCUUCCUCCUCAGGCUAAGAGACCCGAAGUCGAAGAUGACCUCCGUGUCGUCGCCUGCGGGAGGAGGGGAAGCGGGUGGAGACCGAGGACGCUUGGAUGAAGAAGAGGCAGACGCUUUCUUCUUCGCCACCACAACCUUCACCACCAUCCUCGCCGCCACGGCCCUCGUUUGGCGCACGGACACCUCUUGGGUUUGUUUCGGUUGCGUGGCCCUGCCGGGCCGGACCAGCUCACCAGAGUUGGCCUGCUGCAGGACAUGCCCUCUCCUCGUGGCCGGGGGGUCGACAACCUCGACCUCCUCCCUGGAAGACUCAUCGACCACAUAUUCAAUAAGAGGGGCCCCGGUGAUGGUGUUGCUGGCCUCCCCAGCGGAUUCCGCCCACUGGGCGAGCUCCUUCCCCUCCGCGGCCGCCGCGGCCUCGUCCUCCACGCCGCCAACGCCGUCGGACUCCCUGGCGAGCUCUGCCUCCGCCGCCCUGGUGGCGAUAUAGUCCAGCUCCGCUUGGGUGGUGUCCUAGAUGAGCAGUGGCUCUUCGCGGACGUACUUCUCCGACAAGGUGUCGAGGAACUUCUGCACCUGAUCUGCCUCUGGCCCGGCCCAAUUUGGGUCAGGGUCGUGCGCAUUACAGUCCGGCAUCAUGGCAAUGAUGUCAGUUUGGCGGGAGUUGUUGCUCAGCAGGACCACCCCCGUCGGCAACCCAAACAAGGGCCCUUGGCGACCUUGUCGGCCUUCGCGGCCUUGCCGGUCCUCUCGGCCCUACCAUCACGGUCCACGUCGAGCUGAAAAAGCCGCUGGCAGAAGUGGGCAUGCCCCAUCACCGUGAAGUUGUGGUUCAAGCCAGGGCAAAGCCGCAUGAUGUCAGCUGCAUUCCUGAAAAGCCAGGCCGGCCUCCCCUUGUUGUGCAGUGGAGCGAUGCGGCGGCGGAUGAAAUCCGCCCCAAUCAUCUCCAGGGUGAGCCCGGCAACGGUGAGGCAAUGGAUCCUCGUAAUGGCGACCGUGAGCUUCUCAUCCUGGGCGCCGACAUCGCCCCAGUCGUCUCUGCGAACCAGCGGCGCCUGGCGAACCUGGCAAAAUUCCUGUGUGUCCUCCUCCUCAAUCCAGCACCACCGGCUCCGCCACUCCUCCCACCUCUCCUUCUAAGCGCCCUCCGGAUAUGUCCCCUUCUCCUGGGUCCUUGGGAUCCAGGCGACACAACCGGAGAUGGCGCCUCCCUUCUGGAUCCGAGGAUAGAAGUAGUGGCGGAAAAGCGCUGAUACGUCUCAAUUGUAUCUAUAAUUUUUGAUUGCUCCAUGCUAUAUUAUCUACUGUUUUGGACUAUAUUGGGCUUUAUUUUCCAGUUUUAUAUUAUUUUUGGGACUAACCUAUUAACCGGAGGCCCAGCCCAGAAUUGUUGUUUUUUUGCCUAUUUCAGUGUUUCGAAGAAACAGAAUAUCAAACGGAGUCCAAACGGAAUAAAAUCUUUGGGAACGUGAUUUUCUCACCGAACGUGAUCCAGGAGACUUGGGCCCUACUCCAGGGAGUCAAAGAGGAGGUCACGAGGGUGGGGGGCGCCCCCCAGGGCGCCCCCCCUGCCUCGUGGGCCCCUCGGUGCUCCACCGACGUACUCCUUCCUCCUAUAUAUACACACGUACCCCCAAACGAUCAGAACAGGAGCCAAAAACCUAAUUCCACUGCCGCAACUUUCUGUAUCCAUGAGAUCCCAUCUUGGGGCCUGUUCCGGAGCUCCGCCGGAAUAGGGCCGUCAUCACGGAGGGCUUCUACAUCAUCCUAGCCCCUCUGAUGAAGUGUGAGUAGUUUACCUCAGACCUUCGGGUCCAUAGUUAGUAGAUAGAUGGCUUCUUCUCUCUCUUUGAAUCUCAAUACAAAAUUCUCCCCCUCUCUUGCGGAGAUCUAUUCGAUGUAAUCUUCUUUUUGCGGUGUGUUUGUUGAGACCGAUGAAUUGUGGGUUUAUGAUCAAGUCUAUCUAUGAAUAAUAUUUGAUUCCUCUCUGAAUUCUUUUAUGUAUGAUUGGUUACCUUUGCAAGUCACUUUGAAUUAUCCGUUUGGUUUGGCCAACUAGAUUGGUAGUUCUUGCCAUGGGAGAAGUGCUUAGCUUUGGGUUCGAUCUUGUGGUGUCCUUACCCAGUGACAAAAGGGGCAGCAAGGCACGUAUUGUAUCAUUGCCAUCGAGGAUAACAAGAUGUGGUUUAUUGCAUGAAUUUAUCUCUCUACAUCAUGUCAUCUUGCUUAAGGCGUUACUCUGUUUUUAACUUAAUACUCUAGAUGCAUGCUGGAUAGCGGUCGAUGAGUGGAGUAAUAGUAGUAGAUGCAGAAUCAUUUCGAUCUACUUGUCACGGAUGUGAUGCCUAUAUACAUGAUCAUGCCUAGAUAUUCUCAUAACUAUUCUCAAUUCUGUCAAUUGCUCAACAGUAAUUUGUUCACCCACCGUAGAAUACUUAUGCUCUUGAGAGAAGCCACUAGUGAAACCUAUGGCCCCCGGGUAUAUUCUCAUCAUAUCAAUCUCCAUUACUUUAAUCUUGCUUUGCUUUUUUACCUUUCUUUUACUUUUUACUUUGCAUCUUUAUACCUAAAAUACCAAAAAUAUUAUAUCUAUCAGAUCUCACUCUCGUAAGUGACCGUGAAGGGAUUGACAACCCCUAAUUGCGUUGGUUGCGAGUAGCUAUCGCUUUGUGCAGGUACGAGGGACUUGAGCGUGGCCUCCUACUGGAUUGAUACCUUGGUUCUCAAAAACUGAGGGAAAUACUUACGCUACUCUGCUGCAUCAUCCCUUCCUCUUCAGGGAAAACCAACGCAAGCUCAAGACGUAGCAAGAAGGAUUUCUGGCGCCGUUUCCGGGGAGUCUACGCAAAAGUCAACAUACCAAGUACCCAUCACAAUCCCUAUCUCUCGCAUUACAUUAUUUGCCAUUUGCCUCUCGUUUUCCUCUCCCCCCAAUUUACCCUUGCCGUUUUAUUCGCCCUCUCUCUCUCUCUAUCCUCCCUCUCUAUUUGCCUCUUUUCCCUCGCCAUGUCAGAACCAAAAAGAGUUGGGGGUUCUCUCCCAAGUUCUAGUGCUUUAGACAAUCCUGCUAUCUUAUCUAAACUCAUAAAUCGGAAUGCUAUAGAACAACUUGCCGGAGUUAUCAAUGAGAACCUUAGUAAUUUUGAUGAAGAUGAUUCUAGAAUUUUUCGUUAUUUACUUGAUGAAUCUUUGAAAGAUGCUUGGGAUAGGCUUUUAAGGAUCCGGGCUAGCUAUGUACCCCAAUAUCAAAUUGAGGUUUACUUAAAAAGCUUUUAUGUUGGGCUACCCGCUUCGUUCAAACAAGUUUUAGAUUCUAUUUUCAAAGGGGGUUUCCUUGAAGGGGACCCCAUAGAUACCUAUGAGAGGAUGAAAACUAUAUUUGGGAACCCCAUUAAUGAGAAAACUGAAAUCACAUCUCUCUUGCUUUCUUACCAAAACGAAUCUAUUAAAGAGAUAAAAGCUAGCCUAGAUGCCAAUUUCCGCAACAUUCUUAAUCUUUAUUCUACCAUUAAUGGACAUGUACUUUGUCAAAAUAGAAAGAUUAAUUCCAUAGAUAACAAGUUUGCUCUCUUUCUCUCUAAAACCAAAAAUGGCAAUACCUAGAUCUAUCCUCGCUUUUAUGCCUAGCUAGGGGCGUUAAACGAUAGCACUUGUUGGGAGGCAACCCAAUUUUGUUUUUAUUCCUUGCUUUUUGCUCCUACUUAGUAAUAAAUAAAUUAUUUAGCCUCUGUUUUGGUCAUGUUUUUUGUGUUUAAUUAGUGUUUGUGCCAAGUAGAACCGUUGGGAAGACUUGGGGAAAGUCUUGUUGAACUUGCUGUAAAAAAUAGAAACUUUAGCGCUCACGAGAACUGCUGUCAUUUUUAUUUGAAGAGUUAUAUUUAGUUACUUAUUUUUGCAGAUGAUUAACAGAUAAAUUCCUUACGUCCAGCAAUUUAUUUUAGAAUUUUUGGGGUUCCAGAUCUUGCGCUAGCUACAGAUUACUACAGACUAUUCUGUUUUUGACAGAUUCUGUUUUUCGUGUGUUGUUUGCUUAUUUUGAUGAAUCUAUGGCUAGUAAAAUAGUUUAUAAUCCAUUGAGAAGUUGGAAUACAGUAGGUUUAACACCAAUAUAAAUAAAGAAUGAGUUCAUUACAGUACCUUGAAGUGGUCUUUUGUUUUCUUUCGCUAACGGAGCUCACGAGUUUUCUAUUUUGAGUUUUGUGUUGUGAAGUUUUCAAGUUUUGGGUGAAAUCUUUUGAUGGAUUAUGGAACAAGGAGUGGAAAGAUCCUAAGCUUGGGGAUGCCCAUGGCACCCCCAAGAUAAUCCAAGGACACCAAAAAGUCAAAGCUUGGGGAUGCCCCGGAAGGCAUCCCCUCUUUCGUCCACUUCCAUCGGUAAUUUACUUGGAGCUAUAUUUUUAUUCACCAACAUGAUAUGUGUUUUGCUUGGAGCGUCUUGUAUUAUUUGUGUCUUUGCGUCUUAGUAUACCCCAAUCAUCCUUGCUGUACACACCAUUUGAGAGAGAGCCAUACAUGAAUUAAAAUUUGAUAGAGUACUCUAUGUGCUUCACUUAUAUCUUUUGAGCUAAAUAGUUUUGCUCUAUGUGCUUCACUUAUAUCUUUUGAGCGUUAUAAUUUUGCUCUAUGUGCUUCACUUAUAUCUUUUGAGUGUUAUAAUUUUGCUCUAUGUGCUUCACUUAGAUCUUUUAGAGCACGGUGGUGGAUUUGUUUUAAAAAACUAUGGAUCUCUCAUGCUUUACUUAAAUUAUUUUGAGAGUCUCUUAAUAGCAUGGUAAUUUGCUUAAUACUAAUAUGCUUGGUAUUCAAGAUUUGUGAAACUUUCUUUUGAGUGUGUCGAAUACUAAGAAAAUAGUAAAACAUGAUAAUUGUUUUGAGAUAUGGAGGUGAUAAUAUUAAAGUCAUGCUAGUUGAGUAGUUGUGAAUUUAAAGAAUACUUGUGUUAAAGUUUGUGAUUCCAGUAGCAUGCACGUAUGGUGAACCGUUAUGUGACGAAGUCGGAGCAUGAUUUAUUUAUUGAUUGUAUUCCUUAUGAGUGGCGGUCGGGGACGAGCGAUGGUCUUUUCCUACCAAUCUAUCCCCCUAGGAGCAUGCACGUAAUACUUUGCUUUGAUAACUUCUAGAUUUUUGCAAUAAGUAUAUGAGUUCUUUAUGACUAAUGUUGAGUCCAUGGAUUAUACGCACUCUCACUCUUCCACCUUUGCUAGCCUCUCUAAUACCACGCACCUUUCGCCAGUAUCAUACACCUACCAUAUAUCUUCCUCAAAACAGCCACCAUACCUACCUAUUAUGGCAUUUCCAUAGCCAUUCCAAGAUAUAUUGCCAUGCAACUUUCCACCAUCUAGUUCAUCAUGACACAUUCAUCAUUGUCAUAUUGCUUAGCAUGAUCAUGUAGUUGACAUAGUAUUUGUGGCAAAGCCACCGUUCAUAAUUUCUUCAUACUUGUCAUUCUUUAUUCAUUGCAUAUCCCGGUACACCGCCGGAGGCAUCCAUAUAGAGUCAUACUUUGUUUUAGAAUCGAGUUGUAAAUAAAUAAAAGUGUGAUGAUCAUCAUUCAAUAGAGCAUUGUCCCAAAAAAAAGAGAAAGGCCAAAGAAAAAAAGAAGGCCCAAAAAAAGAAAAUAAAUAAAAAGGGGCAAUGCUACUAUCCUUUUUUCCACACUUGUGCUUCAAAGUAGCACCAUGAUAUAGCGAGUCUCAUAUAUUGUGCUUCAAAGUAGCACCAUGUUCUUCAUAUAGAGAGUCUCAUAUGUUGUCACUUUCAUAUACUAGUGGGAAUUUUUCAUUAUAGAACUUGGCUUGUAUAUUCCAAUGAUGGGCUUCCUCAAAAUUGCCCUAGGUCUUCGUGAGCAAGCAAGUUGGAUGCACACCCACUUAGUUUGUUCUGUUGAGCUUUCAUACAUUUAUAGCUCUAGUGCAUCCGUUGCAUGGCAAUCCCUACUCACUCACAUUGAUAUCUAUUGAUGGGCAUCUCCAUAGCCCGUUGAUACGCCUAGUUGAUGUGAGACUAUCUUCCCCUCCUUUUUGUCUUCUCCACAACCACCCUUCUAUUCCACCUAUAGUGCUAUAUCCAUGACUCACGCUCAUGUAUUGCGUGAAGAUUGAAAAAGUUUUGAAAAAGUUAGAGUAUGAAACAAUUGCUUGGCUUGUCAUCGGGGUUGUGCAUGAUUUAAAUACUUUGUGUGGUGAAGAUGGAGCAUAGCCAGACUAUAUGAUUUUGUAGGGAUAACUUUCUUUGGCCAUGUUAUUUUGAGAAGACAUAAUUACUUUGUUAGUAUGCUUGAAGUAUUAUUAUUUUUGUGUCAAUAUAAACUUUUGUCUUGAAUCUUUCUAAUCUGAAUAUUCAUACCACAAUUAAGAAGAUUUGCAUUGAAAUUAUGCCAAGUAGCACUCCGCAUCAAAAAUUAUCUUUUUAUCAUUUACCUACUCGAGGACGAGCAGGAAUUAAGCUUGGGGAUGCCUGAUACGUCUCCAACGUAUCUAUAAUUUUUGAUUGCUCCAUGUUAUAUUAUCUACUGUUUUGGACUAUAUUGGGCUUUAUUUUCCACUUUUAUAUUAUUUUUGGGACUAACCUAUUAACCGGAGGCCCAGCCCAGAAUUGCUGUUUUUUGCCUAUUUUAGUGUUUCAGAGAAACAGAAUAUCAAACGGAGUCCAAACAGAAUAAAAUCUUCGGGAACGUGAUUUUCUCACCGAACGUGAUCCAGGAGACUUGGAACCUACUCCAGGGGGUCAAAGAGGAGGUCACGAGGGUGGGGGGCGCCCCCCCUAGGGCGCGCCCCCUGCCUCAUGGGCCCCUCGGUGCUCCACCGACGUACUCCUUCCUCCUAUAUAUACACACGUACCCCCAAACGAUCAGAACAGGAGCCAAACACCUAAUUCCACCGCCGCAACUUUCUGUAUCCACGAGAUCCCAUCUUGGGGCCUGUUCCGGAGCUCCGGCAGAAUAGGGCCGUCAUCACGGAGGGCUUCUACAUCAUCCUAGCCCCUCCGAUGAAGUGUGAGUAGUUUACCUCAGACCUUCGGGUCCAUAGUUAGUAGCUAGAUGGCUUCUUCUCUCUCUUUGAAUCUCAAUAAAAAGUUCUCCCCCUCUCUUGUGGAGAUCUAUUCGAUGUAAUCUUCUUUUUGCGGUGUGUUUGUUGAGACCGAUGAAUUGUGGGUUUAUGAUCAAGUCUAUCUAUGAAUAAUAUUUGAAUCUUCUCUUAAUUCUUUUAUGUAUGAUUGGUUAUCUUUGCAAGUCUCUUCGAAUUAUCCAUUUGGUUUGGCCAACUAGAUUGGUAGUUCUUGCCAUGGGAGAAGUGCUUAGCUUUGGGUUCGAUCUUGUGGUGUCCUUACCCAGUGACAGAAGGGGCAUCAAGGCACGUAUUGUAUCAUUGCCAUCAAGGAUAACAAGAUGGGGUUUAUUGCAUGAAUUUAUCUCUCUACAUCAUGUCAUCUUUUUUAAGGCGUUACUCUGUUUUUAACUUAAUACUCUAGAUGCAUGCUGGAUAGCGGUCGAUGAGUGGAGUAAUAGUAGUAGAUGCAGAAUCGUUUUGAUCUACUUGUCACGGACGUGAUGCCUAUAUACAUGAUCAUGCCUAGAUAUUCUCAUAACUAUGCUCAAUUCUGUCAAUUGCUCAACAGUAAUUUGUUCACCCACCGUAGAAUACUUAUGCUCUUGAGAGAAGCCACUAGUGAAACCUAUGGCCCCCGGGUCUAUUCUCAUCAUAUCAAUCUCCAUUACUUUAAUCUUGCUUUGCUUUUUUACUUUGCUUUUACUUUUUACUUUGCAUCUUUAUACCAAAAAUACCAAAAAUAUUAUAUCUAUCAGAUCUCACUCUCGUAAGUGACCGUGAAGGGAUUGACAACCCCUAAUCGCGUUGGUUGCGAGUAGCUACCGCUUUGUGCAGGUACGAGGGACUUGAGCGUGGCCUCUUACUAGAUUGAUACCUUGGUUCUCAAAAACUGAGGGAAAUACUUACGCUACUCUGCUGCAACAUCCCUUACUCUUCGAGGAAAACCAACGCAAGCUCAAGACGUAGCAAGCGUCGUAUUGGGAUGCACUCCGGCGAAGCCCUCGCCGAGAUGGGAGAAAAGGGUCAUGCAUGCCACGGCAUUUGGAGUGAAAUCCAGAAGGUGGAAGCCAUAGGUAUGCAUGCCAUCAUUGAAGAAAUCAGAGAAAGAGGGGCAGAGUCCGUAGGAAAAGUAGUCGACGAAGAAUGGGUACCGAUUCGGGCCAGCCUUGGCGAAAUCAGCGGGGAUGAUGUGUGUGGCCGGAUGCCCCGUCGCCCCCCCCUUUCUUGCACUCCCACAGGGGCUUGAAGUUGUCCCAGAGAUGGACCGCAUCGACUGUCGAGGGAAAGUAGGCGAGCUGCGUCUGCCGCGCCGCCAAGUCACUCUCCGGCGGCUCCUUCCCCCUGACGUCCUUGGCCACUCCCUUGCCUUUGCUGGUUUUGGGUGCCAUGGUGGCUGCGAGUGGUGAAGGAUGAAGGACAGCGAACACGCGAUGGCGGCGAGCGAGACAAAGACCUUGAGAAAGAAGGAGGAGGGGACAACGGUUCCGAGAUUGGAGAAGGCAUAGAGGGUAAAUGAGCAGCGCGCCUGCGGUUAUCCCUUUUUACGGGGAAGGCCCAGGCCGCCUCUUUACCAUUUACUACGACAUGACGCCUGCAUGCGGGAACCACCCCACACAUGACCCCCACGUCAUGCAUGAUCCUCCACGUCGCGUAUUCAACGCGGGUCGUGGGGAAGCGCCGCGGAUGGAAAAGUUACUGCAGUAAAAAUCCGCCCCGCCUGCCCGCGCACCAUUCUGGGCCUAGCGCAACAACGCGUCGUGCUUAUGUGUGGCCCAGGCCCGGGGCUCCUGUCGGUGUACAAAAGUAGGGUCUCUCCUUUUGCACCCCUUUACUUGUGCACGGGCAGUCAGAACCGCGCCCACGGCCGCACUGAGAAGGGCAGAGGAGGGAUACCGGCGCGCAAGACAACCGAAGAAACCCCAAGACCAGAGACACAAAGAGCAAGGGAGCGAAGUGGACUCCCCCGGCAAGACUCUUGCCGGGGCAGCCUCCACAGCCCCAGCAAGAGCCUUACCAGGGCAACUUACCCUAUGCCAGCUAAGCGCGCCGCCCUUGAGCCAAGGGGUUCCAACGCCAUCAACCACACCAAAACCAAGGCUCGGGAGGCACCUCCAUGGUGCGUGUAGAUCUUUGUGGAGAUCAUAAAUACACAAGAUCAUAUGAGAACCAGAAGACGACGAUUCUUUGUGAGAUCCUUGCCAAGGAAAUCCACGAGACCCCCGGCAAGAUCCUUGCCGGGGAGGACCGCGCUGCCAUGGCAAGACCCUUGCCGGGCCCCCGUCAAGACCCUUGCCGAGGACAUCCGUGGGGCCGCAGCCAGGCCAACGUCUGCCAAGACUCUACCGCCGCUCCCAUGCAACUGCUAGCUCAACCAGUUGGGCAGGCGUCUACGUGGCAGCAUGGGGCCUCCACACCGACUCAGCAAGCACCUGAGUGGUGGCAUGCAGAUCUUUGUGAAGGCUCCGCCAUCACGCCGGCCCAGCAGCCAGCCAACGUGGCGCUACAACGCCUUGUCAGCUCAGACACGCGCCAGAGCCAGGCGAGGCAGCGACAGUUGGGACGAGCUUCCUUGUCAUCCCCAAUAAAGCAAGAGGGGCACGUCGGCAGUGCAUUAAAUGCGUUUGUCCGAUGGUGCUAGAGGAUAGACUCAGCCACGAUAUCCUUUCCACCUCCUGUGUGUCACUGUGGCAACCCCUUUUGUCUGUAAAAGGAGGCCCAAGGCGUACUAGAGGAGGAUUCGGAUAUUUGGAACUAGGGACACACCGUAGCUAUUUCAAGAACUUAAGAACACUCAAAUAUACAUCAGAGCAGGACUAGGGUAUUAUGCGUCUCUGCGGCCCGAACUUGGGUAGACGAUCCUUGUGCUGACCGCCAGACCUGCUCUUUGCACAACCCCGCUCCCGCCAACCGUAGAAGGGAUCCCAGUGAUUCCAUAGGUGUCGUUUCCACUGACACCAUGUACGUGACAUAACAACCAGCAGAUUGGGAUCCCUUUCCUACAUACUCUUAUUCUAUGUGCCCAUCGCCGCCUCAGCGUUGAAUCGACUGGUAGCAUCUUGAGGACGACCGGGCAGUGGUUUGAGCAAGAAAAUGCCAAGUGAACUACACCCGAUGCCAGAAAUAGGUCACGCCAUUGUUAAUCCGCACAAACACGGUCCACAUGCACUCACACAUUGCUAUGAAAUCGAAAACAACAGAAGUGCACUUCAGUUCAAGUACGGAACAGUGAUGCCCUAUUUUAGGCCAGCUAUUGGAGAUGUCACUUUGUCAUGCCCAAAAAAUCCACAUUUUGGUGUCUUAAAUUUAACACAAACCUCCUUUUGAUGCUCUACAAUAGGGCAGCAAUUGGAGAUGUUGUAAGAAAGUUAUAAAAUGUAGCCUGUGGAAUAAAUGGAGAAUAUUUAAUGCAAAGUUAAUACUAAAGGAUUUGAGCAUCCAUCUGAGAUUUUGCACAUUACCAUAUUAAUGCAAAAUAAAUAUGAUAGGACUCAAGCAUCCCCCCGAGAUUUUAACACACCGCCAUAUUAAUACAAAUAAACACAAUAUGGACACGAUAAUCCAUCGCGAUUAUUCUUUCAGAAAAUACCAUUUUUCAUUUCCAUAUAAUUUUCAAAUUUGUGAUCUUUUUGACAAUACAACAUGCAUAUGAGUGCAAGUUCAAUGACUGGAACAAAGAUGUAGCCCCCAAAACCGAAAGGAAUUUGGUACUCACAUAUGUUUAAACUUGUUGCGUAAUCACAAUGAAUUUUUUUGGCACACCCCUCUAAAAGUUUACAUGAAUCUUAAAGUUACUUAAAAAGGUUUUCACCAUAUUAGCAUGUAGAUCAAUUAUAUCAAAUAGAUUGAUUUGAAUACAAAAGGCUAUAUGAUCCUUUUUGAUCGAAAAAGGGUAACUUCUAAUCUCCAUCUUUAAUCUGCAUCAAAAUCUGUAAAAUUUCCUGCGGUGUACCAAAACAAAGUUCAAUUGCAAUAAUUUUUGGUAAAAAAUACCCUAAUGUUUAAGGAAGGCCACAUAUAUGAACAUUCUUUACCAAUACGUAUGAAUAUUCAUUAUUGCAGUUUGCAUACCAUCCUUAUUUAAUCACAAUUGUAUUGACAUGUAAUUACAAAAAGGCUUAUCACCCGGCUUUAUAAAUAAAGUCAUGACAGGAUACAAACACACUGAAAUAGAGGUCCACACAAAGGAAAUAAGUUCAACAACAAGAAAGGAAAAAAUUACUCGUCGGGGGAAACAACAAAACAAGCCUGCAAAAGAACAUAACAGGGUCUCAAGCCGAAUAGAUUAUCAUACCUAAUCUGGACGCAACCUCCUUAUGUUUCCAUGUCAGCUCGUCGAUGGUUGUCUUAUCCCGCCGCUUAGAGAGAGGCUUGCAUAUGGUGUUCAUUUACUUGGAGAAGGCCUAUAAUAAUAUACCGCGGAAUGUCAUGUGGUGGGCCUUGGAGAAACACAAAGUUCCAGCAAAGUACAUUACCCUCAUCAAGGACAUGUACGAUAAUGUUGUGACAAGUGUUCAAAAACGUGAUCUUGACAUUGAUGACUUCCCGAUCAAGAUAGAGAUGCAUGAGGGGUCAGCUUUGAGCCCUUAUCUUUUUGCCUUGGUGAUGGACGAGGUCACGGGGGGUAUACAAGGAGAUAUCCCAUGGUGUAUGCUCUUUGCGGAUUAUGUGGUUUUAGUUGACGAUAGUCGGACAGUGGUAAAUAGGAAGUUAGAGUGAUGGAGACAAACCUUCGAACCAAAAGGGUUUACGAUUAAUAGAACUAAAACCGAGUACAUGAUGUGUGGUUUCAGUACUACUAGGUGUGAGGAAGAGGUUAGCCUUGAUGGGAAGGUGGUGCCUCAGAAGGACACCUUUCGAUAUUUGGGGUCAAUGUUGAACGAGGAUGGGGGUAUUGAUGAAGAUGUGAACCAUCGAAUCAAAGCCAGAUGGAUGAAAUCAUGGCACUCGGGCACUAGUGACAAGCAUUAUUCACAGCAAAGUCAUAGCAACAUCAAUCUCAGAACAUAGUGGAUACUAGGGAUCAAGCCCUACCAAAACUAACUCGAUUACAUAAUGAAUCCCACCCAUACCAUCAUCGUCCAACAAGCCUACGAAGAGAUUACUCACUCCCAGCGGUGAGCAUCAUGAAAUUGGUGAUGGAGAACGGUUGGUGAUGACAAUGGCGGCGAAUCCCCUUCUUCGAAGCCUAGAACGGACUUCAGAUCUGGCCUCCUGAUGAAGAAUAGGAGGUGGCGGCGGCUUCGUAUCGUGAAACACGAUGAAACUUCCUCUCCUAUUUUUUUUUGGAAAAUAGGAAUUUAUAGUAUCUAUAAUAGGGUUAGCGGAGCCUCGUGAGCCCCACUACCUACUAGAGCAUGCCAUAGGGGGGGGGGGCCUGGUGCCUAGUGGGCAACUGCCCCCCUCCAAUGGGUCUUGGUUCCAGUAAUUUUCAUUUAUUCUUUCUCCAAAAAGUUUCUUGCAAUUCUGAGAACUUUUAUUUCUACAUGAAAACAACACCAUGGUAGUUCUACUGAAAACAACGUUAGUCCAGGUUAGUUUCAUUCAAAUCAUGCAAAUAAGAGUCCAAAACAAAAGCCAAAGCGUUAGGAGAAGUAGAUACGACGGAGACGUAUCACGUGAUAUUCGGAGCAGCAGAUAAGGUAAUACUUGUCGCAAUGGAGGAGAGCACUAACCACUCGGUGGAUUCAAGGGGACCGAAAGAGCGGUGGAAUGUGAGGUUCCUCCCUGCAUCCGCAACCGCCAAGUCCACUGAGAUAGAAGGUUGAUCCGGAAUGGCGAAGAGCACCAGGAAUUGAACAAGGAGUGGUCGGUCAUCAAGCUAAACUAUUCAACAAAAAAUGGGUGUCCAUUCCUCUCUCCACGAUCAGCAAAUCCCAGACGGAAAAUCGAUUUGAUAGGUUGAAUGGCGUGCCAAAAUAUUAGCCUCUGGUCGUGGAGCAAUGAGCGAAAGACCGCCCCUUAAGAUAUUUGUCCUUAAUUAGAUCCAUUUGCUCAUCAGGCGCAGGUUCAUGCGACGAGCUGACGUGAUGACCAGACCCCCUAGUCCUUCUCAUGCAAAUGUCCCGCCAUUUGACCAUAUGAUAUUUCUGCUUAUCCACCUCACCUUGCCACAAGAAUUUGGAUUGAUAUUUGUACAUGUCUGCAUGGGCUCCUUCAGGAAAAUGGUAUAGCCCCAUCGCAAACGUAGGAAGGCUAGCCAAGGAAGAUAUAAUGAGAAUCGAUUUCCCGGCUUUAGAAGUCAAUCUUCCUUGCCACAAAUCUACCCAUGUCUCACACUCUCCAUCACCGGUCGCGGAUCUCUCCAACAAACCAUCGACACACUAACUGAUAGACCGAGGUACAUAAUAGGGAAUGACCCUGGGAAGCAAUUUAGGAGGUUGGCUAUGGAGGAUAGCUCCUAUUGGGGAACGUUGCAUGGAAAACAAAAAAAAAUUCUACGCACACGCAAGAUCUAUCCAUGGAGAUGCAUAGCUAUGAGAGGGGGAGAGCAUUUCCAUACCCUUGAAGAUCGCUAAACUAAAGCGUUUACCAACGCGAUUGAAGUAGUCAUACACCUUCCUGAUCCUUCCCGAUCAAGUACUGAACGUAUGACACCUCCGCGUUCAGCACAUUCUUUAGCUGGAUGACGUCCUCGCCUUCUUGAUCCAGCAAGAUGGACGAAGUAAUAGAUGAGUUCUGGUAGCAUGACGGCGUGGUGACGGUGGUGGUGAAGAACAAUCUCCGCAGGGCUUCGCCAAGCACAACAGAAACUAUGACGGAGGAUAAACUAGUGGGGCCGCGGUGCCGACACAUGGCUUGGUGAAUCUUUAUGUCUCUAGGGUGCUAGCCCUACCCCUCUAUUUAUAUGUUGAGUCCUAGGGUCGUUUCAUGGAGAAAGAGCCUCAUCAAAGUCGGUUUAGCCCGCAAGGCAGGAGUCCUUCUCGGACUCCAGGACCAGAUGCUAGGGUCCCUGGCGUCUGGCCCCAGACGCCACCCCUGGCCUUUGCAAAACUCCUUUUGCACCUUCCUAAAACCUUGCGGGCUUUACCCCUUGUCCCAAAUAAAGUGUUCUCAUACCUGAAAAUUUAGGGAAACAUCCGAAAACCCUUCCGGUGAAUUCCGGAACCCUUCCAGAGACCAAAAACUAUUAUCCCGUAUAUCAAUUUUUACCUCCGGACUAUUCCGGAGCUCCUCUUGUCAUGUUCGUGAUCUCAUCCAGGACUCCGAACAACAUUCGACCACCAACAUACAUAACUCAUAUAAUACUAUAUCGUCAACGAAGUUAAGCGUGCGGACCCUACGGGUUCGAGAAUGAUGUAGACAUGACCGAGACGCUUCUUCAGUCAAUAAGCAAUAGCGGGACCUGGAUGCCCAUAUUGGUUCCUACAUAUUCUACGAAGAUCUUUAUCGGUCGAACCUUUGUGACAACAUACGUAGUUCCCUUUGUCCGUCGGUAUGUUACUUGCCCGAGAUUCGAUCGCCGGUAUCUUCAUAGCUAGUUCAAUCUCGUUACCAGCAUGUCUCUUUACUCGUUCCGUAAUACAUCAUCUCGUAACUAACUCCUUAGUCACUUUGCUUGCAAGCUUCUUGUGAUGCUGUAUUACCGAGAGGGCCCAGAGAUACCUCUCCGUCAUACGGAGUGACAAAUCCCGAUCUCGAUUCAUGCCAACUCCUCAGACACCCUCGGAGAUACCUGUAGAGCACCUUUAUGAUCACCAAGUUACGUUGUGAUGUUUGAUAACACACAAGGUAUUCCUCCGGUAUCCGGGAGUUGCAUGAUCUCAUGGUCCAAGGAAUAUGUAUUUGACAUUAAGAAAGCCGUAGCAAUAAACUGAAGGAUCAUAUGCUAAGAUAACUGAUGGGUCUUGUUCAUCACAUCAUUCUCCUAAUGAUGUGAUCCCGUUAUCAAGCGCAACACAUGUCUAUGGUUAGGAAACCUUAACCAUCUUUUAAUCAACGAGCUAGUCUAGUAGAGGCUUAGUAGGGACAUUGUAUUUGUUUAUGUAUCCACACAUGUAUUUCAGUUUUCGGUCAAUACAAUUCUAGCAUGAAUAAUAAACCUUUAUCAUAAUUAAGGAAAUAUAAUAAUAACCACCUUAUUAUUGCCUCUAGGGAAUAUUUCCAACUGCUCCUGCUCCGAAUAACACAGUACCAUCACGUCACUUUUGGCGAAAUUAAUCAUCAAACACGACAUCUCUUGGAAGCAAAUAUGGAGGAACUGCAAAUUUAUUAUAUCCAUUGGAGUUCACUCCAUAUAAGGAUGGUGUCAUCCGCAUAUUGGAGGUGCGUGACUCCAUCUACUGCAAUCAACUGGGCCACCACCAGACACAAAUGGCCAGCACACCUCCCUUUAUCCAUAAUGGAUGCUAGGCCAUCGAUAACAAUAUUAAAUAAGAACAGAAAGAGUGGUUCAUCUUGCCUCAACCCCCCUUGAGGGCUUAAAAAAUGGAUCUGUCUCCCUAUUAAUGUUAAUGGCAGUAUGCCCACUACUGACAAGCUACAUAAUGCGGGUAACCCAUUUACCAUCUAACCCUUUGCGCUGAAGGGAAUCUCUCCAGAAAUCCCAACUAAGCGUAUCAUAAGCCUUAUUGAAAUCAAUCUUGAAAAUACUGCCUUUUGAUGUUUAGUCUUAACCUGGUGAAUGAUUUCAUGUAGCGCCAGUAGCCCAUCAUGAAUUAGAUCACCCUUAAUGAAGGCCGACUGGUUUGGAUGGGUAAUUCUAGCCACUAUAGGUGCCUCCCUCAUGGCGUGCGCCUCGUCUAGGAUGCAGAUGAUCACGUUAAUAGCCGUGAUUGGCCGAAACUGGCGAAUGUCCAUCGCCCAAACUACUUUGGAGAUCAAUGUAACCACUCCAUAGUUAAGGCGGGAUGCGUCGAGCACCGCAUUAUAGAAAUCUCGGAAUAUAAUCAUCACCACCCCUUUGAUGAUCUUCUAGAAUUUCACAAAAAACAGGACAGGAAGCCCAACCGGGCCCAGGGCGGAGUCGGGUUUCAUCGAGUUCAUUGCCGCUUCAACUUCUAAAAAAGGCUCCAUGAGCCCCAGCCGCCCCCUCUGAGACCCACAUCUCGAAGACUCACCCCAGCCCAUUGUUGACUGUUCAAAAGGUUUUUGUAAAAACCAUCAAUGUGAGAGUGGAUCUCCACCUUGCCCUAAAGCAUUGUGACACCAUCCCAAAGGACCACUACCGAGGAUCACUAUGACGGCUAUUGGCAAUAGCCUCGAAGUAUGCCGUGUUGGAGUCACCCCUAAAUGUCAAAUUAAACGACCCUAAGAUGACAGUAAAUCUCAUCGUUUUGAAAGAACGUCAUGAUGCUAUCCUCGAGAGCACAUCUCUCCAUCCAUUCCUCCGGAUCUAGACCCGUCGUGGUUGACCGAUCAUCAAAGGACUUGAUGGCCACAAGGAGCCCCACCUUGCGGAUCCUCGAGUCUGGCCUAGGUUGCCCCCCCCCCCCAACCCCGCAUGAAUUNNNNNNNNNNNNNNNNNNNNNNNNNNNNNNNNNNNNNNNNNNNNNNNNNNNNNNNNNNNNNNNNNNNNNNNNNNNNNNNNNNNNNNNNNNNNNNNNNNNNNNNNNNNNNNNNNNNNNNNNNNNNNNNNNNNNNNNNNNNNNNNNNNNNNNNNNNNNNNNNNNNNNNNNNNNNNNNNNNNNAUUGCAUGGAUAAUUUGGUACAGUGAUGCCAAGUGUAUAACACCGACAUCGAUUGGUUGGGGAGUCGAGCGCCUCGAACCACUUGGACAUCACCGCCUCGGCAAAACCCGGCUGGCAUAGCCCGAAUAUAUAGCUCGAGAUGGAACUAUGGCGGUGGCCGAGGACUAGUUUCCCCGGAUGACAACAAGGGGACAUGAUCUGACCAGGGGCAGUGCCAGCACCAGGAAGCUGUGCAUUCAAAUGCACUAAUGUUUUUUAAAUGUCUUAUUUUCUUGCAUAAAUACGAAUAAAAUUAAGCUUGCAAUCAGAAAAAUUAUGGGGUUAGCUGACCCCACAUCGUACAUGUAGAAUCGCCCUGGAUCUGCCCUAACCCUCCUAGUCAGUAGUCACUGCCCGAAGAGCUGCUAGGGGAAACUUAUGUUCCCUUCAAACGCAACACCCAUAGUAUCGUAGUGCUAAAACUCUAAUCUUUGCCAAUUUUGCUCUUUGAAAUUUUUUUGAACACCAUCUUCAAAAUGCAGAGCAGACAACUUGACCGAGUCUAAGCCAUCAGCACACACACUCUACGCUCGAUCCAGUUUAGUAUCCCAAACAUUAAAUGGUAGUGAUAUAUGGCCCUGGAAACUGAUCGAACUUACUAAUUCCUGUAGUAGUAUAUGUGGACCCAAAAUCAUCUCCAGCGUGUAGAUAUCUCCAUCAAAAACACACUCGUCUCCUCGACCCCAAAGUUAAUGCCCAAUACUUAUCAUUACACAAAGAAAGGAAGUAAUUAAUGCAUCAAUUAAUGAGAAGCGAGUAUAGGACUCGAGAGCAUAUCCAUCCAAGAGCGUUCACCUAUAAAAACACCCCUGCUCGAUGAAUCCAUCCUGUGCCUUCCGAGACUGUAUUCUAUUGCCUUUUGAGCAAGCACUCUUGCUCGAUCGAUCGAUCGACCGAUCCCGUGCCUGGCCACUGGUUGGCGAGCAUCUUACGCAAUGGCAGGUCGCCCGUUGCUGGUCCCGGCUGUCAUGCUGCGUCCUCCUGGACCGGCGUUGGGCUCGAGGGCCUCGCUAUACGUCGGCGACCUAGAUGAUGGCGUGGCGGAGGGGCAUAUCUAUGACCUGUUCUGCCAGGUGGCGCCCGUGGCGUCCCUCCGUGUCUGCCGGGACGUCACUGGCAGGUCACUUGGUUAUGCCUACGUGAAUUUCUACAGUCGGGAGGACGGUGAGUUUGGCUUCAUCUCUUUUUUUUUUCUUUUUUUUUGGGGUUGUCUUUGUCUCUUUGCAUGUUCAUCUACUCAGGCUUGGAUUGGGGAUACAAAGAACUUACGAGGCUGCGUGGUUUUAGAUCUUGGUUGUGAAGUCUGUGAUUUACUAGAUUUCCCAUACAAGAUGUGGCACACCAUCGGUUGAAGUUCUAUUUUGGCAUUUUCUUGUUCUGGUCAACAGAGGCGAGGGUCUUUUGAUGGAACGCGUGUAGAUAGUGUGUUGACCUGCAGUUUGUAGAACAACGUGUCACUAACAUAAGUAGUGUUGGAAUCCGUAACCGUUUCGGGUUUGCGGAAUCUGAUCCUAACGGAAUCGGGCUCGGAAUAGGAUAAAUGAUUGGCAAAAGCCAAUGGACACACACAGUGGUUGCAAUUAAACGUGUGCUUACCUACAUACCAUAUAUUUCUGUCGUAAAAGAAAUUGACAUGUUCCUAUUAUUGGUGAUGUCUUUCUUAUUCAGGUCGUAACACUUGAGAAUUGAAUCACAAGUUGAAUUGUAGUUUGUUGUUAAGUUAGGUUGGUUGUUUUCAAAUUAGCCAACAUUAAUUGCUGUUUGUGUCUGAGUGAAAGGCUUCAUACACUGCUUUUGUUUAUUAUGAACAGACGAGAAUAGGAAUUUGGGCUAAAAUCCUGCUAAGAGUUCUCUAUAGAUUGUGCACCAUGGGGUAGAAAAUCGCCGUAGAUAAUAUAGUGUUGUCGGAAUCUGACUCAGAACCGGAUGUAUGAUUUGGGAAAAAUAAGUAGACACACACAAUUGUUCCAAUUAAUAUGUGUUUAUCUGUUCGCUGAGUUAUGCCGUAAACGAAAUGACAUGUUCAUAUUACUGGUGGUUGUCUAUCGUAUUUAUGGUGUAACAUUUGGGAGUUGAAUCGUUAGCGAGAGGAAUUGUAGUUUUUAUUAAACUAGGUCACAUGAUUUGUUUUCAAGUCAGCCAAGAUUGAUCAUUGUUACCAGUGAGGGAAUGACUUCAUAGAUUGCAUUUGGCGAUUAGGAAGAGAAUGGAAUUUUGACUAAAUCUCGGUAAGACUUCUUUAUAGAUUGGGUUUAUGCACAUUCCAUAAAAAAACCAAGACCCUCGCUUCGAUAGAUCACAACAAUAAAUAUAACUUCAAGGCACUGUAGAUUAGGAAGAGAAUGGAAUCGGCAGUUUGUAGAUUGGGAAGAUAAUGGAAUCAGCAGUUUGUAGAAGAUGCUGCCGAGCACUGACAUCAGGGUUAGAAUCCGUAACCGAUUCAGGUUUCCGAUAUGGCAAAAAAUCUUUGUGGAAACAAAUGCUGUCGGAAUACGACUCAGAGUCGGAUGUAUGAUUCGGAAAAGUCAAGUAGGCACACACACCGGUUGUAAUUAAUGUGUCUUUAUCUACCUAUAUAUUUUUGUCACAAACUAAAUGUUCCCAUUAUUGUUGAUGUCUAUCUUACUUACGCCGUAAUACUUGGAUUGAAUCGUCAGCGAGAGGAAUUGUAGUUUUUUGUGAACUUUGGGUUGGUUUGUUUCAAAUUAGCUAACAUUAGUUGUUGAUUCCAUCUGAGUUUAUGGCUUCAUAGAUUUCUUCUGGUCAUUACGAAUAGAAAAGAAUAGAAUUUGGGUUAAGAUCCUAUUAAGAUUUCUGCGUAAAUUGUGCACCAUGGUGUAAAAUUCGAUGCGGAAAAUAAUGUUGCCGAAUAUGUCGCAAUCCGACUCAAAAUCGGAUAUAUUAUUUUGAAAAAGCAAGUAGGCACACACAAUUAUUAUUUUAGUUAAUGCAUUUUAUGUACUUGCAGGAUUCUGUCAUAAACAAAAUGUUAUGUUCAUAUUAUCGGCGUCGUCUAUCUUACUUACGGUCUAACUUUUGGGAGUUGAAUUGGUUAGCGAGAGAAAAUUUAGCUCUUUGUUAAAUUGGGCCACACGGUUUAUUUAUAAGAUAGCCAAGAUUUGUAGAUUGCACACGGGAAUUAAGAACAUAAGAGAAUGGAAAUAGAGCUUAAAUUUCGUUACGAUUUCAUUGUAGAUUGUGCAUCAUGCAUGGUGUAGAACGUCAUCGUGGAAGUUAACAUUGUCACAAUCCGACUUGGACUCGGAUGUGCAUAUGAUUAGGAAAAAACAAAUAGCUAGAAUUUGGUUACAAUUAAUGUGUGUCUAUGUUCUUAUUUCUUUCUAUCUAAACAAAAUGACAUGUUUAAGUUAUUGGUGUUGUCUAUCUUUUUUAUGGUGUAACAUUUGGGAGUUGACUUGGUUAGUGAGCGAUUUUUUAAAAGUUUAGUCCAUGCAGUUUGUUUUCUAGUUUAACCAAUAUUCAUUGUUGUUUCCAUUGAUGCCUCCAUAAGUUGGUGUGGCAAUUUGGAAAAUAUAAACAGGAGGGAACUGAAUGUGGGUUAAAAGUUUUCGUUAAGAAUUUUUCUAGUUUGUGCACCAUGGUGUUGAAAUGUGCUACAUUACACUAGGUAGAUUGUAUGAUCACGAUGGCCCCAUGGAUUUCAUAGUUAACCUAGUCAAAUUUUCAUCAGUUUAUUCAUGCUCCACGCUGCCAAAUUAGUUAAGAGAGAAAUUGUACAUAGUUCAAAUUGGAUAUUAGCUUUGCAUAUCGGACAUCCGAUAAUUAUCUGCUCGAUGAACAUCCUGUCAUAUAUAAUACACCAUGUUGUAUCGUGGUCAAUUAUACAUAUACAUACCAUACCCAGUGGCGUAGCCAGCCCAAUUUGCCAGGGUGGUCCGGUAAUAGAAAUAUUUACACAAGUUUUGUUUAUUUAAAAUAAAUAAAUUUUACUACACUAUACACAAGCUAUGGGGGAAUUCCAGGGUGGUCCAUGGACCACCCUGGCCAGCCCCUAGCUACGCCACUGACCAUACCUACACUAUUGUUUUCACCUUAACCUGAUUUCUUUUUCUUUGUAUUUGUAUGUUUGCUUGCCCUACUAGAGGAUUUGAGUUUAAUACUAGAAUUACCUCUAAUAAUUUUGUAUGUGCUUGUUUUGCAGCCAAACGUUCAUUAGACUCUUUAAAUUUUACACCUCUCAACGGGAAGCAUAUCCGAGUUAUGUUCUCGAAUGGGGACCCAACGCUGCGAUUGAGUGGAAAGGCCAAUAUAUUCAUAAAAAAUCUUGUGCCAAAUAUUGAUGGCAAGAGCUUGAGUGAUAUGUUUGGUCGCUAUGGCACUAUACUAUCAUGCAAAGUGGCCACUCACUUUAACGGUCAAUCAAAAGGGUACGGAUUUGUUCAAUUUGCAGAGGAGACAUCUGCCAAUGAUGCCAUCGAUAGCUUGAAUGUCAAGUUGGUGAAUGGCAAACAAAUUUUUGUAGGUCUCUUCAUUCGUCGUCAGGAGAGGCAGCCAAAUAUCAGCGUGAGUAAUUAUACAAAUGUAUAUGUGAAGAACUUGCCAAAGGAAUUCACUCACAAUGACCUUCUGCAAGAGUUUGGUCCUUUCGGUACAAUUACUAGCGCUGUAAUCAUGAGAGAUAAUGAUGGAAUAUCCAAAUGCUUCGGAUUCGUUAACUAUGGGGAAUCAGAAUGUGCUACGGAAGCUGUGAAAAGUCUUAAUGGUAAGAUGAUUAAGGAUACAAUUUUGUAUGUUGGAAGAGCUCAGAAAAAGUCAGAAAGAGAAGCAGAACUGAGAGAAAACUUUGAGCGUGCGAGAAAUGAGAAAUUCAAAAAGUUUGAAGGGCUCAAUCUAUACGUGAAGAAUCUAGAUGAUAGUAUUAAUGAUCUAAAUCUUAGAGGGUUAUUUGAAUUUUUUGGUGAGAUAGGAUCAUGCAAGGU